UUUUUUUUUUUUUUUUUUUUUAAUAUAGGAGCUAAAUAUUUAUGGCUCCUUUUAAUUUUGUUUGUAAAUUGGCCUUAUCGGAAAUCCGCGAAAAUUUCAGGCAUAGAAGCAGCCACACCCACACAAGCUCAAGUUCAAAGUUAUCUCCGCACUCUCUUCUUCUUCUUCCUUCUCCUUCACUUAUCUUCUUCUUCCUCUCACCCUCUCUCUAAAUUUCUCAUCGAUUCUCAAUUCAGCUUGAUGCUCUCGGAUUUGAUUCGUCGAUAACCCCAAUUUCUUUCGAAAUUUGAAGUUUUUAAGUCAUUUCUGGUUCGAAAUUCGUUGGAAUUGGAAUGAGAUAAAGUCUCUGACUUUGCUAUCGGUUUGUUGUGUUCGUUUCUGGGUUUAUUGAGAUGCCUUCGAUGCUUGUUCUCGUCGGCACAAUGCCGUCCUUGGCUUCUCUGGUUAGUCUAGGUGGUGCUUGUGCAAGCGUUUCUGGAACGAGUUCUUCGGAUGCAUCGUAUGCGUUAGUUAAGAGGGUAUCGUUGUCAAGGAGAAGUGUUAAGGGGACUAAGAAAUGGCUGUGUAGAUAUUCUGUUUCGUCUUCAACUACUACUACUACUGCUGACUUCAUUGCUGAGCAAAACAACAACUCAGUUUCUAUAGAUUCUAACUCGUUUAGGGGGAGUAAAGAAGGGGAUGAUAGUGAGGUUGUGCUGAAGCAGACUCCUAAACCUGUGUUGAAACCCCCUGUGGCAAGGGUAGAAAGAGGUUUGGGGGUGAAUACUGCUCCUUGGAGUAAAGAUUUAUCUAAUGGGGGUAAGUUUGAUGGAGAAGAAGAGAGGAAUAAGGUUAUUGAAUCUCUUGGUGAAGUGUUAGAUAAAGCUGAGAAGUUGGAAAUUCCGAAACCGGGUAACAAAGAGGGUGGUGAGGCUGUUAAACCGUCACAGCCUAGUGCCAACAGUAGUAACUCAAGAAAUGGUAGCUAUGCGAAUGCGAGUGAUGGAGGGACAAGGAAGACGAAAACCAUGAAGAGUGUGUGGCGUAAGGGCGAUGCUGUUGCUGCUGUGCAAAAAGUUGUUAAGGAAUCACCUAAAAUUGUUAAUAGAGGAAUGCAGGUUGAACCUAGAUCGAAAGAGGAUGAAGAGAUGAAUGCCAAAGCAGGCACUCAAUUGGCACCACCUCAGCCACCUUUUAGACCUCAACCACCUGUAAGACCCCAGCCAAUGUUACAAGGGAAGCCUACCGUAGCUCAGCCACCCGUUAAGAAAUCACCCAUCUUAAAAGAUCUUGGUAUGGCAGCAAAACCUUUAGUUUCUGAAGAAGUUGAUUCUAGCGUAAAAAGUAAAGAAAGGAAGCCUAUUUUGGUUGACAAAUUUGCUUCCAAGAAAAAAGGUGUUGAUCCUGUGGCCUCUCAGGCUGUGUUAGCUCCUACUAAGCCUGGAAAGGGUCCUCCCUCUAACAAGUUCAGAGUUGAGCACCGUAAUAAAAAAAAUGCAUCAGCUAGUCCAAGACGAAGAAUUGUUGCUGAAGACGAUGGCGACGAAGAUACAUCCAUUUCUCGAUCAGGUAGAAAAGGGAGAAAAUGGAGUAAAGCUAGUAGGAAGGCUGUCAGACUCCAGGCUGCAAAAGACGCAGCACCUGUCAAAGCUGAAAUCUUAGAGGUAGAUGAAGAAGGCAUGUCCAUCGAGGAUUUGGCUUACAACCUAGCCAUCGGAGAAGGUGACAUCCUUGGGUACCUAUAUUCAAAAGGGAUUAGACCUGAUGGUGUGCAGACUUUGGACCGCGAGAUGGUGAAGAUGAUUUGUAGAGAUUAUGAUGUUGAGGUCCUUGAUGCUGAUUCAGUUAAAGUAGAAGAGAUGGCAAAGAAAAGGCAAACUUUUGACGAAGAAGAUUUGGACAAGUUAGAGGACAGACCUCCAGUCAUAACGAUAAUGGGUCAUGUGGACCAUGGAAAGGUAGGCACAGUUUGCAUUACUGUUUUUGUUACCAUGUCCUACUCGCCCUUAAAAGGAUAUGUAGAGUCCUAUUUUUUAGCAGCAGGUUGUUCCUAAUGCAUUUGCUGCCUAUUUUGCAGACCACUCUUCUGGACUAUAUCCGAAAAAGCAAGGUAUGGAUGAGUUUAGCUAUUAAUUUCCCUUUUAUUAUUUAAGAAAUUUCAUUGUGGCCUCUUCAGUUUUUUAUCAUUUCUAAAGCAUGGCUAUUGGCAAUUAAUGUUUGUUCAUUUGCUUAUUGUCAAGAUUAGUGCUAAGUAGCGUUUUCAGCUAAUCUCCCUUCGCUGGAUACAUGCAGGUUGCUGCGUCAGAAGCAGGAGGAAUUACACAAGGAAUUGGUGCAUAUAAGGUGUCAGUGCCUGUUGAUGGAAAGUUGCAGUCCUGCGUUUUCCUUGAUACUCCUGGACAUGAGGUAGAUCCUUUUUCUUGCAAUUGAAUCUUCACAUGUUCAUUUCUGAUGCUGAAAUUUCAUUGAUUAUACUUCCUGAGCUUUCUUUCAUGUAGCAUGUUUCUUGACUAUCUCACAUCUAUUGCUAGGCAAACCAUAGUUUUACUCAUCUUACUUUUAUGUCCCCAUCUAGGCAUUUGGGGCAAUGAGAGCUCGCGGAGCACGAGUCACUGACAUUGCAAUCAUUGUGGUUGCUGCUGAUGAUGGAAUUCGUCCUCAAACAAAUGAAGCAAUUGCUCACGCAAAGGCUGCUGCUGUACCAAUAGUUAUAGCUAUAAAUAAGGUAUUUAGUUAUUCUUCUUUACCUUGUGUAUAUGUAAGUUUCUCCCAGUCUUAUUCAUUUCAUGUUCCAGAUAGAUAAAGAAGGAGCUAGUCCAGAUAGAGUGAUGCAAGAGCUUUCUUCAAUUGGUUUGAUGCCUGAAGAUUGGGGUGGUGAUGUUCCAAUGGUUCAGGUUGGAAUUCAUACUUUCAUCACGUAUAUGUUUCAGGGUCCAUAUGUUCCGUGGGUUCUCAUAUCAUGCUCUAUAUUUGCCUUUGACAGAUCAGUGCUUUGAAAGGGGAGAAUAUCGAUGAUCUGUUGGAAACUGUCAUGCUUGUUGCAGAGGUUAGUUUGUUAUUCAUCCCAUGAUAACAGGUUUGCUUGAUUUUUCUGUUUCUCUUUUCGGUAGAUGCAUAAUGAAGCUCAAUUUUGUUUUCUUCAUGUAAGUACUACAUAGUUGCUACGAAAUGACUUACAUAAUUGCUCCAAAGUCGGCCCAAAAUCUUGUUUUAAGGAGGGCUAAAGACUAAUUUACGCUUACUCCCACUUUCUGCUUUUGCUUGUGGGCUGACUGUAUUUUGGCUGUUUCAGCUGCAAGAGUUGAAAGCAAAUCCUCACAGAAAUGCCAAGGGCAUUGUUAUCGAGGCUGGACUUGAUAAAGCAAAAGGACCAUUUGCGACAUUCAUUGUUCAGAAGGGGACUUUGAAAAGAGGGGAUGUUGUUGUUUGCGGAGAAGCUUUCGGAAAGGUCUAUCCAAAAUUUGGUUUUUCCUCAAGUCACAUUGUGCAGAUGAUAUAUAAUCGCUUAAAACUUACCUACUUUGGGUUUUGCUCUGUUCCUAUGUUUAGGUACGAGCUUUAUUUGAUCACAGUGGGGAGCGAGUUGAUGAAGCUGGACCCUCCAUACCUGUACAGGUUUGUAGUUUUAUAGUCUACCCUAAGUUAAACGUCAUUGCACACACACUAAUAGAAGUACUCUAUGCAGGUCAUUUUUAUUUCCUUGGUGACUGGAUUUUGAUACUAUGUUCUCAUGUAUGGAUGAUUUAGAUAUCUAAUUUGAGGAUCUAAAUUACAUUUUGCAGGUGAUUGGUUUAAAUAAUGUCCCCAUUGCUGGUGACGAAUUUGAGAUUGUCUCUUCCCUUGAUGUGGCGCGGGAGAUGGCAGAGGCACGUGCGGUAUCUCUACGAGAUGAAAGAAUAUCUGCAAAGGCUGGGGAUGGAAAGGUCACGCUUUCCUCCUUAGCUUCUGCUGUAUCAGCGAAAAAGAUGUCAGGCUUAGAUUUGCAUCAGCUUAAUAUCAUCUUGAAGGUUGAUGUACAGGUAAAGAGUCACUUUGGUUUCAUCCGCUCAUCGCCUUAAACAUUUUGGUUUCCUCUGUCUCCUCUUUUUUAUGCUGAUGCAAAUCAUCAAUGUGACUACUAGGGAUCCAUUGAAGCUGUCAGACAAGCCCUGCAAGUCCUCCCUCAGGAGAAUGUCACCUUGAAAUUCUUGCUACAAGCGACAGGUGAUGUGAGCAACAGUGAUGUUGAUCUAGCAUCAGCAAGUGAAGCCAUCAUUUUUGGAUUUAAUGUCAAAGCGUCUGGUUCUGUUAAGAAAGCUGCAGAAAACAAAGGUGUUGAAAUCCGACUAUAUAGAGUUAUAUAUGAGCUUAUUGACGAUGUGCGAAACGCAAUGGAAGGACUUCUUGAGUCUGUUGAGGUUAGCAUUGAUUUCUUUAGCAAUUUGAAACGUUUUGUUGUUGAUCAGCAUUCCUUUUAAGAGUUACACAUGAUGAGAUCUUUGUUUUGUCUUCUUUCCACAUGAGUUGGCAUAACAACUGUUUUUUUCGUUGGGUUGAAUAAUUGAAUUGCCUGAAAAGGAAAUCUCUGUAUCAUGUCAUUGAUUAUUAUAACGCAUAGGUUUUAGUCUCACUUCUUGAGCCUUUUUGGAGUUUUGAAACUGAAGAUUCAUGUGGCUCUUGAUAUUUGAUAGGAACAAAUCCCAAUUGGCUCAGCAGAAGUUCGGGCUACUUUCAGCAGUGGAAGUGGCCGUGUGGCUGGAUGCAUGGUGAAUGAAGGGAAAUUUGUCAAAGAUUGUGGCAUCAGGGUGGUCCGGAAGGGUAAAACUGUCCAUGUCGGUGUCCUUGAUUCUCUUAAACGAGUUAAAGAAAACGUGAAAGAGGUAAACUAUCAACCUCCAUCUUAGACACUUAGAACAUGGAAGGAGAAGUAGAGUCUUCCUAAAAUAUCAACUUCCAUUUUACACGCUGAGAUAUGCCCAAGUAUAAAACAAAUCUUGACUUAACAAUGAUUUCAACUUUCUUACUUGGUAGGUAAGUGCUGGAUUAGAAUGUGGUAUCGGUAUGGAUGACUAUGAUGAUUGGAUAGAAGGAGACAUCAUCGAGGCCUUUAACGCAGUUCAAAAGAGGCGAACACUAGAAGAAGCAUCAGCUUCAAUGUCUGCUGCGAUUGAAGAGGCUGGAGUUUAAUUGUGAUCCAGGUUUUGCUUCUAAAGUCAUCAAAGAAACGCAAGCAAACAACAAAAUCAGACUCUCAGGGUAUGAUUUGGGUCACACAACAGUUUGGUUGGUACAUUGUUUGUAAUGGUCUCAUCUUGUACAUGGCAAAUGUUUCUCUACAUUUUGGUUGAUUGAUGUAGGAAAAAAAAAAAGACCCAAAUAUAACAAUAUUAUCUUGAAAAGAAAAAAUCCUUAUUUAUAAUGUCUAUAAAUUCAUUACUUUAUUGUGUAUACUAUUGGGUUUCAGGCAAAGCCUUAUAAAUCGAUUAUACAUGUUUCAUUGAUAUGUCAUGUGGAAGCUCAACAACUUACCUGUUAAAAAGAACGUAGAAAAGAGGAGGUUUCAAAUCAAAAAAAAUUUCUUAAAUUUCACCCAAAAUCUCCAAAAUAAAUUAAAAACUUACAAAAGCUCAUUCAAAAUAUUUAGUUGAAUAUGCCUUCUUAAUUUUGAAGAAAAUAUGCUUGUAAUUAAAGAUGAGAGAUGGAUAGAUAUUGAUAAAUAGAAAGGGGUAAAAGUGUUAAGCAUCGCUUUAGUGGCAAAUUAACAGACAACAAGAUGGGCGCGAAAAAGACAGCAAUGACUUCCACUUGUGUGUGUGUGUGUGCGUGGCUCUUUAACGGUCAACGAUAAAAAUCAUGAGCUCACAGACUCCAACGCUCUCUCACACCCAUCACCAAAGAAAUUAAAGCAAACAAUACACUUUAAAGAUCAUUGUCCUGAAUCAUCCCUCCUUUUUCACGUGUCGUCUUCAUCAAAUCCUCACCGUCCCAACAAACAAGAUCCUCUGUUUUCUUCUAUUGACAACCCAGAGAAACACUACAACAUUUUUAUUCAAUGGAUCUGUACUACAAACCCUCACGUGAUUUGAAACCACUUGCAGCUCAAAAAUAUGGUAAACCAAGUCGGAGAAAGAGACGAUGUCGUCGACAAAGAGAAUUAAAACAGAGUUGACUUAUUGUAGAGACAGAGAGAGACCUUUCCAAAGUGUUUUGCAGAUAGUCUUUCUUGAUCAAUCAAAGUCAGUCUUUUUUGCCCAUCUCAAUCUAAUCUUUUUAGCUUUUAACCAAAACCAUUCCGUGACUGCCCAAAUCGACGUUUCGUUUCGCCAUUCCUUUUUUUUUCUUUUUCCAUAUGUGUUCAGCGAUCACUCUGUGUUCUUACCAAAGCUAACUUGUAAAAAUGAGAGGGAGGAUAUGUUUCUCGGCAAUAGUAAUUCUCUGUUCUUUCUCCUUCAUCUUAGUAAGAUCCUUAAACGAAGAAGGGCGAGUUCUCCUGGAGUUUAAAGCUUUCCUUAAUGACUCGAAUGGUUAUCUCGCAAGCUGGAACCAGUUGGAUUCAAAUCCCUGCAACUGGACCGGAAUCGAGUGUACCCGCAUCAGAACGGUAACUUCUGUUGAUUUAAAUGGAAUGAAUCUAUCAGGUACACUAUCUCCUCUCAUAUGCAAGCUUUAUGGUUUAAGGAAAUUGAAUGUCUCCACCAACUUCAUCUCUGGUCCAAUCCCUCGAGAUUUAUCUCUCUGUCGAAGUCUAGAGGUUCUUGAUCUCUGCACAAAUAGGUUCCAUGGAGUGAUACCAAUUCAGCUAACUAUGAUCAUCACUCUUAAGAAGCUGUAUCUAUGCGAGAAUUAUCUUUUCGGUACAAUCCCUAGACAAAUAGGUAGUUUGAGUUCGCUCCAAGAGCUUGUGAUCUACAGCAACAAUCUCACCGGUGUAAUCCCUCCUUCCACGGGGAAAUUGAGACUGCUCCGGAUCAUUAGGGCAGGACGGAAUGCAUUCUCGGGUGUGAUUCCAUCUGAAAUCAGCGGAUGUGAGAGCCUAAAGGUACUUGGAUUAGCAGAGAAUCUUCUUGAGGGUUCUCUUCCUAUGCAGCUCGAGAAGCUUCAAAAUCUUACUGAUCUGAUACUCUGGCAAAACCGUCUAUCCGGUGAGAUACCUCCUUCGGUAGGAAACAUCACCAAACUGGAGGUGCUUGCGCUGCACGAAAACUACUUCACGGGAUCAAUUCCAAGAGAGAUUGGAAAGCUCACAAAGAUGAAAAGGCUGUACCUUUACACAAACCAGUUAACCGGAGAGAUACCUCGUGAAAUAGGCAACUUGACAGAUGCAGCUGAGAUAGAUUUUUCGGAGAAUCAGUUAACAGGUUUCAUCCCAAAAGAGUUUGGUCAGAUCCUGAAUCUAAAACUACUUCAUCUUUUUGAGAACAUUCUUCUAGGUCCAAUUCCUAGGGAGCUUGGGGAAUUGACACUGUUGGAGAAGCUAGAUUUGUCUAUCAAUAGACUAAAUGGUACUAUCCCGCGAGAGCUUCAGUUCCUAACUUACCUUGUAGAUUUGCAGCUUUUUGACAACCAGCUUGAAGGGACGAUACCUCCUCUAAUCGGUUUCUAUAGCAAUUUUUCUGUUCUUGACAUGUCUGCCAAUUAUCUGUCUGGUCCAAUUCCAGCCCAUUUCUGCAGAUUUCAGACGCUAAUACUUCUGAGUGUUGGUUCAAACAAGUUAACAGGAAACAUUCCUCGUGAUCUGAAAACCUGCAAGUCACUGACAAAGCUAAUGCUAGGCGAUAACUGGCUAACAGGAAGCCUUCCCGCUGAAUUAUUUAAUCUUCAGAACCUUACUGCAUUAGAGCUUCACCAAAACUGGUUAUCAGGGAAUAUAUCUGCAGACCUGGGAAAGCUGAAGAAUUUAGAAAGACUGCGUCUAGCUAACAACAAUUUUACUGGUGAAAUUCCUCCUGAGAUUGGGUAUCUCACAAAGAUUGUUGGCUUAAACAUCUCCUCCAAUCAGCUCACUGGUCACAUCCCUAAAGAAUUGGGGAGUUGUGUCACUAUCCAGAGGCUUGACCUUAGUGGCAACAGGUUUUCCGGGUACAUACCACAAGAUCUUGGUCAGUUGGUGAAUUUGGAGAUUUUGAGAUUGUCUGAUAAUAGAUUGACCGGAGAAAUUCCUCAUAGCUUUGGAGAUCUAACUCGGCUCAUGGAGUUACAACUAGGAGGCAAUCUCUUGUCUGAAAACAUCCCAGUGGAGCUCGGAAAGUUAACCUCUCUGCAAAUCUCCCUCAACAUUAGUCACAAUAAUCUCUCAGGUACGAUUCCAGACAGUUUAGGAAAUCUACAAAUGUUGGAGAUACUUUACCUCAACGACAACAAGCUAUCAGGUGAGAUCCCUGCAUCAAUUGGGAAUCUCAUGAGCCUCCUCAUCUGCAAUGUCUCAAACAAUAACUUGGUCGGAACAGUACCAGACACAGCCGUGUUCCAGCGGAUGGAUUCAUCAAACUUUGCUGGAAACCACCGUCUGUGUAACUCUCAGAGCAGCCACUGCCAACCACUUGUCCCACAUUCUGAUUCAAAGCUAAGUUGGUUAGUCAAUGGUUCGCAGAGGCAAAAGAUCUUGACAAUCACUUGUAUGGUAAUCGGCUCGGUUUUUCUUAUCACUUUUCUUGCUAUCUGUUGGGCAAUAAAGCGGCGGGAACCAGCGUUUGUUGCACUUGAGGAUCAAACAAAACCAGAUGUAAUGGACAGCUACUAUUUCCCUAAAAAAGGUUUCACAUAUCAAGGCCUUGUGGAUGCAACCAGAAACUUUUCCGAAGACGUGCUUUUAGGGAGAGGAGCGUGUGGAACGGUCUACAAAGCUGAAAUGUCAGAUGGCGAGGUGAUAGCUGUAAAGAAGCUAAAUUCUCGCGGCGAAGGAGCGAGUUCUGAUAAUAGCUUCAGAGCUGAAAUAUCAACACUUGGAAAGAUAAGGCACCGGAAUAUUGUGAAGCUAUAUGGUUUCUGCUAUCACCAGAACUCAAAUCUUCUCUUGUAUGAGUACAUGUCAAAAGGAAGCCUCGGUGAACAACUACAGCGAGGUGAGAAAAACUGCUUGUUGGAUUGGAAUGCUCGGUACAAAAUCGCCCUCGGUGCUGCAGAGGGUCUGUGUUAUCUCCAUCAUGAUUGCAGGCCUCAAAUAGUUCAUCGCGACAUAAAAUCGAACAACAUUCUUCUUGAUGAACUGUUCCAGGCUCAUGUUGGAGAUUUUGGCCUAGCUAAGUUGAUUGAUCUCUCUUACUCAAAGUCCAUGUCAGCUGUUGCUGGGUCUUACGGAUACAUCGCUCCAGGUGAGUAAAACAUCACAGGUUUCUUUCUCCCAGACUCGCUUAUCUGACAUAUCUGAUUGGUGUUUUGUUGGGUUUCAGAAUAUGCUUACACGAUGAAGGUGACAGAGAAAUGCGAUAUCUAUAGCUUUGGAGUUGUGCUUCUGGAGCUAAUAACAGGAAAGCCCCCAGUUCAACCGCUGGAGCAAGGAGGGGAUCUAGUCAAUUGGGUUAGAAGAUCAAUCCGUAACAUGGUUCCAACCAUUGAAAUGUUUGAUGCGAGGCUAGAUACGAAUGAUAAGAGAACAAUUCAUGAGAUGUCUCUAGUCCUAAAGAUUGCACUGUUCUGCACCAGCAAUUCUCCAGCUAGUAGACCAACAAUGAGAGAAGUGGUCGCUAUGAUUACAGAAGCUCGGGGAUCAAGCAGCCUCUCUACCUCAUCCAUUACAUCAGAAACUCCUCUAGAAGAAGCAAACUCCUCCAAAGGUAUGAAUCCACACACGCACACACACUUGUCUGAAAUUUCCGAACUUUUUCUGAUUCUCAUUUCUUGCUAUUCUGCAGAAAUUGACUUUGUUGCAUCACCUUGAAGUCAGCAAAUAAAUCCAGUUCAGUCCAUACAGUGGAAAAUAGAAAUGUUGAAUCUGAGUCUCUAAUGAUAUCUGCAGUUAUUACAUAAACCAACACAUUGUUCAGAAACAUUGCAGAACAUGUAAAGCACAGUUUUAACUAUUUUGCAAAAGAACAGAAUAGAGUCCAGGAAGUAGAAAGCAGCUAAAAUCUUUCUCUCUUGAAAUAAAAUCUUAUGAAACAAUCAAUGGGGAUUUAGAGGAAAUCCAUAAACGUAUCUUCCUAGAAACUUCUUUGCUCUAGAUAACUCGUUGACAUACAUUGAAUCAUAAACAAGCUUACUUCUCCAACAAAAUAGAAGAACACAAAAAACGAGGAAAAGGACAAAACGUGAAACCAAAGUUAAGUGUUGAUUUUUUGCUCAAACAAAAUCUUCUGUAUCGAUAGAAUAAAAAUGAGAAAAUGUGUUUAAUACUCCAUAGUUGUACGGCGAGAUUACCUCACGCGCAAAAUCUUCAAAUUGAGCUAAAACAGGACCAAGUUCAGGCUUCCUUCAAACCCCAAUGAAAAAAAAAGAAACCGAUAUUUAUUAAAUUGGUCUCUGAGAAGCCAAUGCAUAUAAAUAGAAGAGGUCUUCAUUGGAUUCGAAACCAGUUAAACCCAACAUGGGUGGAUUUUUGGCAGAGAAGAACUCUAAUUCCAAAAUCAGGAACAGCUUCACUUCGAAAUGCUCUUCUCUGAUGAAACGACAACAUGCUCGUCUCUGUAUAAUUCGACUCUGCGCCACAAUGCUCCUCCGCUCUUACAUCGAUCACGACGAUUGCUAAUAAGUAGAGUUACCAGAAGAUUAAACUUAAAAUUAUGUUAACUAAUAAUGUUUUUCGUCCAUCUCUGAUUCGUCUAGUGGAUCGGGUCUCUUUUGGGCCUUUAGGCCUCUCUCCUCUCUUAACGGAUUUGGGUUUUUAGCUACAGCGACUGAUUAAGGGUAUCUUUAUCAAUGUUCCGCCGGAGAGGGAUUUCACGGCGUCAGUUCUUACAUUUUUCCGGCCAGUCCGGAUUUUUAUGUCUCUAUUUUUCUUUUAAUGUUCUGUUCAAUUGGUGGUUAGUGCUUGUAAUAAUGUAGUAAUGAUGUAAUAAGAGGGUGUAAUCUUGUGUAACUAUAAGAGCAUGGGCAGUGGGGCAAGCAGUGGGUGUGAUUCUUGGGGUAUAGGACCUAUAGGUAUUAAAAAAACGAAAAAAUUGUCUCUCUCUUCACACCCAGGUGUAAGUUUACACUCGGUUAUAACACUUUUUCUCUCAAUCUCUCUUUCUCUUUUCUCUUUUGCUUUAAAUUAUAAUAUUAAAAAAAUACUUACAGCCACACAAACACAUUAGCCACAGCUGAUGGUCUAACGCUAAGCAAUGUUCAUUUUCUUGGGUUGGACCCAAAUUCGUAACAUAAGAUAUUAAUCCAAUUAUUUGCAAAGAUAAAGAAAUUGAGGUCUCAAACUGUAAAUAUAUGAGCAAACAAUCGCAGUAGUAUGAAGCUGCAUUAGCCUUGUUCUUCCUCUGGGAAUACGAUUACUGAUUGGUGAAAGCCCCAAAUUCAAUUUCUCAUUUCCAGAUACGAUAUGCCUCCAGGUUUUUCUCUAAGCUAUUUUCUUUUUUCAGUUAAUCUGUUCAAAUCGUUUUGGUCUUUUAUCGUAUCUUUCCUUAAUUUGCACUCUGGAAGAAGUUGUUGUCGUGGCUCUAGAAUCCAAGUGCUGCACUAUCCCCAAUUAGUGUCCAUGAUCAAAUCGACUGUUUUGAGAGAAAUUUGUUACUACCAAACAACAGAGGCUGUUUUUCUUUUGAAAUUUUUUUGACAAUAGAGUGCUAGUUUCCCAGAUAAAACAUAUGAUUUACUACAUUACACCCACCGGGGACGCACCACUAAGAUAGAAAUAAAGCUAAUAAAGUAUCCAAUGGCAAUCCCCACAAGAAAUGUUCUCUUUAACUCAUCGUUUCCCGUGGUUGUAGCAGGUGUGCAGGAAGUCAGCAGUACACCACCGCACAACAAGGGGUUUCCUUCAAAAUAUGCUUUUGGAAAUGUAUCAAACUGACCUCCUCUGGGAAUUGGCCCUUCCAGACUGUUGUUCGCCACGUUGAAAUAAGACAUGAAACUUAGGCUUGUUAACGACCAAGGGAUUCUACCGGAUAAAUAGUUGUUGGACAGGUCCAGCCUCUCUAUGUUGGUGAGGUUUGACAGUUCAUAUGGGAUGCUGCCAGAUAAAUUGUUACUAUGAAGAUCCAGGAUAUGAAGAACCUUUAACUGGCCAACCUCGACUGGUAUACUCCCUGUCAAGUAAUUCCUUCUGAUGUAAAUCGUAGGUGGGAGGCUGUACAGUUGAUUGUAUUGCUGAUUGGUGGUAACAUUAGUGGGAUUGAGAAAAACAGGCAGCUCUAGAUAGUUCUCUUCUGUUGCGUCGUAGGUCUUUUGGGACAUCAGAGCCCUUAGUUGGAAGAUCUCCUUUGGCAGCUCUCCUGUAAGUAGGUUAUCUGAAAGAUCCAAGUAGAAAAGGUCUGGAAGAGUUCCUAACCAACCGGGAAUUGACCCCACAAAUCGGUUCAUUGACAGAUCCAUAGCUUCUACCUUCUUGAGAUUAAUCAGCCAAGCUGGUAUUUCACCUUUCAAUCUACAUGCACCUACGCCAAAUAUUCGGAGUUUGGGGAAUCCAUCUGGGGCAAGAAAGUCUUCUUUGCUUGGAACUGUUUCAUCAUAGAAAUUCUUUGCCAUGAUUAGAGUGGACAGCUCCCUGCAUCCCUGUAGAAUGCUGAGAGCUCCUGUAAUGUUCGUCAGUUUAUUGUCUGAAAAAGACAUAUACGACAGGGACUCAAGUUCCAAUACUUGAGGAGACAUCUGUCCCGUUAACUUGUUGCCUGCAAAUCUGAUUGCAAUGAGCGAUUUGCAGGAGAAAAUCUUAUCAGGGAGUUCACCGGUGAAGCUAUUGUUUCCGAGAUCGAGAACCCUAAGACUCUGCAACUGGGAAAAAUCGAGCUCUGUUAAGCUUCCUCCCAGCCGAUUGACCCUCAAAUUCAACUUGACGAGGUUAGUACAAUUUGCAAGAGAAUGCGGGACUGUACCAUUGAUUUUAUUGAUAUGGAGUUGAAGGCUACGCAGGCUGGAGAGGUUACCUAUGUCCAUUGGUAUUUCUCCUUCAAGGUGGUUGGAGUAAAGUUCAAGCGACGUUAGUUUCCUGAGCUGGGUGAUGUUAUUAUCGAUCUUUCCGGUAAGCUGAUUGGCUGGCAGAAAGAGUUUCUCGAGCUCAGAAAGAUUGUAGAUUUCACUUGGUAUAUUACCAGAGAGAUUGUUGAAGCCUGCUUGUAGAACACUUAGCCUCAAACAUCUGCCUAAUUCUUGAGAGAUAUGGCCGCUAAAAUCAUUAUAAGAGAAAUCCAGUUUGCUGAGCUGUGGUGAACUCCUGCACAUGAAUGAAGGGAUUGGACCUGUGAAGCUGUUGUUACUAACGUUGAAACUGAUUAAAUUGAUAGCUCCCUGGAUAGCGAUAGAAUUACUGAGGAUUUCUCCUUGGAGGAGAUUGCUUGACAGAUCAAUGGUAUGGACUGGGAAGAAUCUGUUACUUCCAUCUCCAAAUGCUUGUUCAAGUGGCAGCUCACCAUUGAAGCUAUUGUAACUAAGAUUAAGAACCAUGAGCUGAUCAAGGGUCGAGAAAAAACCUGGUGGGAGAGGACCCGAGAGACGGUUAUGAGAAAGAUCGAGAUGAGAGAGACGGUGAAUGUUCUGAACAGACGAAGCGAGAGUGCCAGAGAGUCCUCUAAAGGGCAAGGAAAUCAUAGUGACGUGACUAUCGGAUGAAUCAUCGCAGGUAAUUCCCUCCCAGGAACAACAAUCAAUGGACAAAUUCCAAUUCAAAGGAGAAACAGAAGAAGAAACAUUGCCGGAAAACGACAUGAGAGAUUCUCGGUCUUGUAGGUUACAGACAGCUUCUGAAAGUGUAAGAAAGAGGGCAGAUAGGAAAAGAAGACAGAGGAGGAAGAGAUGCAUGUGAGAACUCAGAGGCUGUACAGGUUUUGUGAUUAAUGGUCUCACAAGACCUUUGGCUUUGGGUCUCAUUUCCUUAUCUAUCAUAGCGAGGAGAAGAACAAUACAGAGAAGAAGAAGAGAAAUAGAAAACUUCUUGUCGAUACAGAGGUGACCAAGGGAAAUAGUCAGCCCCAGAGAAAACUUCUUGUGUGAUCUUGUCAAUACCAUCGUUGACCAAGGCAAAUUAAUCAGUCAGUAGCUUCAUUUCUAUUUUGUUUCUUAAGCCCUUUGAUUAGUUUGUUAUAACAUUGUUAAUUUUAUGUUCUCUGUGUUUUGUUUAUGGCAGGAUUUGUUUUCUAAGUUGACUCGAACCCAGUGGCCACUUAAAUCUAUGAAUUUUCUAACAAUAUAACAAUGUAGAUUGUAGAGAGAUCUUAUAUCAUAUCAUAUGUUUAUGUCUUUAUGAUGAUAAAAAGAUAAUCUCACUAAACAAAAACAAAAUCAUCUAGUAAUGGGAAAAUUGUAUGACUUUAUAUUCAAAAUUUAAAAGAUAUCAAAUGGAAAAAAAAUAAAAAAGUAAAUACGUUAAACUGAAAAUUAGUUUUAAAUUAAACAACAAAACUGAGAGUUAUCGUUUUAGAUUUUUAAUUAUUGAGUAAAUAUAAUGGGACGGGUUAGAGAGGGAGUGACCGUUAGGUGGAGAAGUGAGCUCAACAACACUUCACUCACUGCUUCUUCUUCGUCUUUCGCAUCUACUGUUCCGUUAAUGGCGGUACCAAUUGCGACUUGCAGGAGAAUCUACUCUUCAACUGGCCAGCCAUGGAAUGGUGGUUUCAAUUUCAUUAUUCGUGGACCCUUUUUAAAGAUUCCUGUUUUCGCUUCUGUUCCUGGAUUAUUCUUCUCCUCCCAGCCGACGAGAUUAGCAGCUUCGUUCGUGCCAUCAUAUAGGAUCCUGGUGAGUCCUUCGAUCACAAUGAUGGACCAUUGGUCGCAACCUAGUGGUUGAGUUCGUUUGUAGCUCACACCAUGUUUUUGAUGGUUUGCUAUUACUUUGAAUCUUAUGUUCAUCGAAUAAAUUUCUGGGAUUUUGAAGCUGUACGGUGGUUUUAAGCAUGGCAGAGGAUUUAGACGAACCAUUGCUGGAUCCUGAUACUUUCGAUAGAAAAGGAAUUGACUUGGUAUAUAAAUUAUUAUUCAUUUUUACUCAAAAUUCUUGUUAUACUUUUUGUGCCAAGGAAUGGUUUUGACUCUUGAGAUUGACAGGGUAUAUUGCCACUGGAGGAGGUUUUUGAAUACCUUAGAACAUCGCCUCGGGGGCUUUUAUCUGGAGAUGCUCAAGAAAGAUUGAAGAUAUUUGGUCCUAACAGACUUGAAGAGAAACGGGUAAAUAAACACAACAUCUUCAAAGUGUCUUCAUUGUGUUCCUGCCAAGUGUCUCCAUAAUGUUGUGCUAAUACCAUUUAAAAAAAAUGAUACAGGAGAACAAAUUCCUGAAAUUCCUAGGUUUUAUGUGGAAUCCGUUGUCAUGGGUUAUGGAAGCUGCGGCAUUGAUGGCCAUUGCCCUCGCUAAUAGUAAAGUAAGAUAAUCCGCUGUCAUGGGUUAUGAAAUUGUUUCUCUUCUUUACUGUGUGAAGAUACAACUUGAAACUCAUGGUGAAAAUGGUAUUACAGAGCAUGGGUCCUGACUGGGAAGACUUUGUUGGAAUCGUUUGCCUUUUACUUAUCAACGCAACAAUCAGCUUCUUUGAAGAAAACAAUGCUGGCAAUGCUGCUGCAGCUCUUAUGGCUCGUUUGGCUUUAAAAACAAGAGUAUGGCUCUUAACCUUCCAAUGAGCCGAAACGGCAAAUCUAGCUGCACUAUCGUUUCCAUAUUACCUUAAAUUUGAUUUAGAUCCACUCUUAUAGGUUCUUAGAGAUGGACAGUGGCAAGAGCAAGAUGCUUCUAUCUUGGUACCUGGUGAUAUAAUUAGCAUAAAGCUUGGGGAUAUCAUUCCUGCAGAUGCUCGCCUUCUUGAAGGAGACCCCUUGAAGAUUGAUCAGGUACGUCCAGAAUAUCUAGCACUUAUUUGCAUCUCUUUUCUUUUAGUGUACUAUGUAAAGACUUUUUCUAGUUAAACAUUUAUUCCUGCAGUCAGUGCUGACCGGUGAAUCACUACCUGUGACCAAGAAGAAGGGUGAGCAAGUCUUUUCUGGUUCUACUUGUAAGCAAGGUGAAAUAGAAGCUCUUGUGAUAGCAACUGGUGCGACCACUUUCUUUGGAAAAACAGCACGCUUGGUGGACAGUACAGAUGUAACUGGACAUUUUCAGCAGGUUUUUCUUCUUUCUCUUUUGGUUGGAAAGAACCUCUGAUUAGUGAACGUGGAAUCUGGAGAAACCCAAUGUAAUCUAAAAGUUGUGAAAUAUAAUCUGCAGCUUGCAAGAACAUGACAUUUUUCUAUGACAUGUUUUCUUCUAGAUUCUUACAUCCAUUGGAAACUUCUGCAUUUGCUCCAUUGCUGUUGGAAUGGUUCUUGAAAUCAUUGUCAUGUUCCCUGUACAACAUCGUUCCUACAGAGUUGGGAUCAAUAACCUUCUUGUACUACUGAUUGGAGGGAUACCCAUUGCUAUGCCCACUGUACUAUCUGUUACGCUUGCCAUUGGAUCUCAUCGACUUUCUCAACAGGUACAAAUCUUGGUGUCAUUUCUAUUUAGUAUUUAAGAAUAAUAGAGUGCAUAGAGAAGAAUCCUACUGUAACGCUGCUGAAUGCCAAAGGGAAUCCUUUGUUUGUUAUAUUCUUUAAAACAGUUUGCUAGCAAUAAUGAAUUUCAACUUGUUUUGAAAGGGUGCCAUUACGAAAAGGAUGACGGCAAUAGAGGAGAUGGCUGGGAUGGAUGUACUCUGCUGUGAUAAAACUGGAACCCUUACCUUGAACAGUCUUACCGUUGAUAAAAAUCUUAUCGAGGUACCAACGUGCCUUGUUCUCUGUGUUCUAUGUCUAGGUGUUUAAAUAUGCAAAUCCUUCUGCACAGGUUUUCGUUGAGUACAUGGACAAGGACACAAUUUUGUUGCUUGCAGGCCGAGCUUCACGACUAGAAAAUCAGGAUGCUAUAGAUGCAGCCAUUGUUAGCAUGCUUGCUGAUCCCAGAGAGGUAGAGAUGUUUCUCUUACAUGAACUCUCCUUGAUAAGACUAUAUAUCAUUUUCUUAGAAGUUUUCCUCAUACAAAGGUUGUUUAUCUGUAGGCACGUGCAAACAUUAGAGAAAUCCAUUUCUUGCCAUUCAAUCCUGUGGACAAACGUACUGCAAUAACAUAUAUUGAUUCCGAUGGAAAAUGGUAUCGUGCUACCAAAGGUGCUCCUGAACAGGUAAGUAUCACCCUACCAAACUUACUCUAGAUGUAAAAAUUUAUUGAAAUUUUUUGUACUGUGUCCAUGAAAGAAAUACCAUCACUAAUACAACUGUUCUAUAUUAUAGGUUCUAAACUUGUGUCAACAGAAAAAUGAGAUUGCGCAAAGAGUUCAUGCCAUAAUUGAUAGAUUUGCAGAAAAAGGUUUGAGGUCUCUUGCGGUUGCUUAUCAGGUAACAUAAUUGUCCUCUCCCUUUCUCUCUUGAGCUGGUUUUAUCAUAAGUGUACUUUUGAAGAAGAACGUUUCAAUUCAUUUGCAUCAUUUUAAUAAUUGUUUCUAGGAAAUUCCAGAGAAAAAUAGCAAUAGUCCUGGAGGACCAUGGAGGUUCUGUGGUCUGUUGCCACUGUUUGAUCCUCCAAGGCAUGACAGCGCUGAAACCAUCCUAAGAGCUCUUAACCUUGGAGUUUGCGUUAAGAUGAUCACGGGUAAAUCUUAACCUUAAGCUUGAUAGGCUUGGCCCGACAGAGAAACACAUACACCCUUAUGUGUAAAUGGUAAACCUCUGGGAAAAUGAAUGAAAAGCUGAUGAUAAGUUUGGAAAAAAAUGUAGGUGAUCAAUUGGCGAUUGCAAAGGAGACAGGCAGACGUCUUGGAAUGGGAACCAACAUGUAUCCUUCUUCCUCUUUGUUAGGCCACAACAAUGAUGAGCAUGAAGCCAUUCCAGUGGAUGAGCUAAUUGAAAUGGCAGAUGGAUUUGCUGGAGUUUUCCCUGGUCAUAACACAACACAACCAUAGUACCAAUGAAGUUUAAGAUUUGCUCUCAUUUCUGAUCCCAAACUUUUUUUUGUCUCUCAUGUUACAGAACACAAGUAUGAGAUUGUAAAGAUUUUACAAGAAAUGAAGCAUGUGGUCGGAAUGACCGGAGAUGGUGUGAAUGAUGCUCCUGCUCUCAAAAAAGCUGACAUCGGAAUAGCUGUCGCUGAUGCAACAGAUGCCGCAAGAAGUUCUGCUGACAUAGUACUAACUGAUCCCGGCUUAAGUGUAAUUAUCAGUGCUGUCUUGACCAGCAGAGCCAUUUUCCAGCGGAUGAGGAACUAUACAGUAAGUACUAAAGUUAUAGUUACACAACUAUCAUUUGAUUCCUGAUAGCUAAAGAUAAGCAAAUUCAUAUAAUAUAGGAUAUGGAUUUCAAGUAGUCUGAUGAAAUUCUUAAAUAGCUUAUGUUUUUCUCUGAAUUACCGACUAAUCAGUACGAAUCUGCAGGUAUAUGCAGUCUCUAUCACCAUACGCAUAGUGGUAAGGAGCUUCAAGAUACAUGAUCUAGCUCAUGUUAGUUAAGUUACAUCUACUUACUUGAACUUUCUCUUCUUAUCAUUGUUUCAUGCAGCUUGGUUUUACACUUUUAGCGUUGAUAUGGGAAUACGACUUCCCACCUUUCAUGGUUCUGAUAAUCGCAAUACUCAAUGACGGUAAUCUUUUAAUCAAUAGCUUCAAUUCAUGUUGAUUUAAGAAUCCUAAUUCUUAAUACUUUCAAGUGCUUUGUUUAUCUCCUACGCAUCAGGGACCAUCAUGACUAUUUCUAAAGAUCGAGUUAGGCCAUCUCCUACACCCGAGAGUUGGAAGCUCAACCAGAUAUUUGCGACAGGAAUUGUCAUCGGAACAUAUCUAGCAUUGGUCACCGUCCUGUUCUACUGGAUCAUUGUUUUUACCACCUUCUUCGAGGUAUCUUCCUAUCACUCAAAGUAAGUUAGAUUUUGCUUACCGAGAAGAAUGCAUACCGGUGACCAAUCUUUAAUGGCUGCAGAAACACUUCCAUGUAAAAUCAAUUGCAUCCAACAGUGAACAAGUCUCAUCCGCUGUGUAUCUCCAAGUGAGCAUCAUCAGUCAGGCACUCAUAUUUGUAACACGUAGUCGAGGCUGGUCUUUUUUUGAACGUCCAGGGACUCUCCUGAUUUUUGCCUUCAUUCUUGCUCAACUUGUAAGAAUUCCCCAUCCUUCACAAUUUCCAUCACAGAAUGCUAUAUAGCACACAUAGGUCGUUAUAUUGACUUGUCCAUUUCAUGUACACAGGCGGCUACAUUAAUUGCUGUAUAUGCCAAUAUCAGCUUUGCUAAAAUCACCGGCAUUGGAUGGCGAUGGGCAGGUGUUAUAUGGUUAUACAGUCUGAUAUUUUACAUACCUCUAGAUAUUAUAAAGUUUGUCUUUCACUACGCAUUGAGUGGAGCAGCUUGGAAUCUCGUAUUGGACCGUAAGGUUGGUACAUGUUUUGUGACUCUUAUCCUCUGCUUGUUAGUCAGUCUCAGACUUUAUACUCUGCAUUCUCUUGAAGACGAGACUGUUGGUUUGUCUUGCAGACAGCUUUUACUUACAAGAAAGAUUAUGGGAAAGAUGAUGGAACGGCCAAUGUAACCAUCUCUCAGAGAAGUCGUUCUGCAGAAGAACUCAGUGGAAGUCGUUCUCGCGCUUCUUGGAUCGCUGAACAAACCAGGAGGCGUGCAGAAAUUGCCAGGUUCUCAUUUUAUCUACAUUCCAUUUUGGGUAUUCUCUUCCAUUUUCACAUACAACCAAAAUAACUAUAAUGUUUUUCAUUUGGUAGGCUCCUAGAGGUUCAUUCAGUGUCAAGGCAUUUGGAAUCAGUGAUCAAACUCAAACAAAUUGACCCAAGAAUGAUCCGUGCAGCUCAUACUGUCUAAAACACUCUCUUGAUUUUUCCCUAACUCAAAAUUUACAUAAAGAGGGAUCGAACAAUCUUGUGUUCCUCAGUGAAGUAAAAACAAUAUGUAGAGCAUUCAUAUGAUCUGUAGUCUUGUUUUCCGGUGACAGCAAAAAUUUCACCUGAUCUGCUCUGUUGAGAUCAAUUGUAGACCAUAUAUGUAGGUGUUGCACUGAACUUGUGAUAACUCUUCAUCACUUUGGUUACUGCAUCUAGAAAAUCUUUCUCAGUCACUGUCUUUCUCCGUGCUCGAAUAGCAAACAUGCCAGCUUCUGUGCAUACGCUUCUGAUAUCAGCUCCUGAAACGUUUAUAUCCAUUCAGUUUAGUGACAGUAAUGAUAUCUCUAGAAGUUAGUAGGAGAUUGAAAAGAAGAAAGAAUGCGUGCCUGAGGUAUUAGGACAAAGGCGAGCAAGCAGCUCGUAGCGGAUAUGCUUAUCACAGUUCAUUGAUCUUGUAUGGAUCUUGAAUAUAUGUAUCCUGCCUUGUAAGUCUGGAAGACCAAACUCAACCUUACGGUCUAACCGUCCAGGACGCAGCAAAGCUGGAUCUAGUGAGUCAGGCCUGUAAAAUCAGGAUUAGGAACUAGGCAAUGGCUGCAUUUGCUUGCGAAAUGAUGUGAAAAAAAGACGAAGAAGAAAAGAAACCUGUUUGUAGCCAUAAGUACUUUGAUAUUCCCUCGCUGAUCAAAGCCAUCAAGUUGGUUCACAAUCUCCAGCAUAGUUCUGUGGAUCCCGCUGUCUUCGUAGGGACCAACACCAACCCUUGCACCUCCAAUGGCAUCAACUUCAUCAAAGAAGAUAAUACAAGCUUUUUUCGAACGUGCCAUCUAAAGAAAAUAAACAAGGAAAACGAUAUCAUCGAAAUACUUAUGAUCCAGUGACAAGUAAACCAAUCAAGGGAUAUGAACAUCAGAUGAAAUACCUGAAAAAUUUGGCUGCUCCCAUACCACUACACUUGUGAACAAGCUCAGUCCCUAUAACCCAAAUGAAACAUGCUGCAGUCCUGUUAGCCACAGCUCCAGCCAAGAGAGUUUUACCGGUUCCAGGAGGACCAUAACAGAGAACACCCCUUGGAGGAUCCAGCCCGAGCUUUACAAACUUCUCAGGGUGAAGCAUUGGCCACUCAACAACCUGAAAACAACACCGGUAAGAUGCAGAGGAUAACUGCUUCAGCAGGAUAAAGAAAACACUGAAUUUGCUCACUUCUCGGAUCUGUUGGAUCUGCUCUGUGCAUCCACCUAUAUCAUUGUAUGUCACAUCUGGUGUAUCUUCCACGAUAAACAUUUUGGUUGUGUAAUCAAAUCUUGGAGGCAGUGGCAUCAUUAUUUUAAACUUCGGACAGACUCUGUAAUUGACCAAUAAUUAACUUUGGAUGUUUAAGAAGUAUAAUGUGGCCCACAUGAUGGUGGGCGGGUGGUUUGGCGGGCCCAGGGUGGUUGGGUGCAACUCCCUCCUCUCCAUGGUUCGAUUCCUCCUGCUAGCUGUGGGUUUAUCAAAAAAAAAAAAAAAAAAAAAAAAAAAAAAGAAGUAGAAUGUGAAAGUUGCUCUGAUACCAUAAUCUUAAAGCUAGCACGAGCGGAGGGUCGUGUUGACUAAGUCUAGACGACAGUCGUGUUUACAAGCAAGGGUUCACUUUCCAGGUAAAGGGAGCGAUUCGGGCCUCUUUGCCUCUGUGUUGCUCAACCCACUAUUAGGAACUGUGAAACCCCGGCGAGUACUAUUGACUGCCGUGUUCGACCGUCGUAUUGACGGACCACUUAUGCUAACCUUAAGAGAACAAUACAGAAUCGCGACUGUGUUUAGAAUAGAAAGAAACAAGGUUUAUGAAGAAAGUAGGAAGUCUGGAAAACUUAGAGAGAAGUUAGAGAAACAUUUUAGAGAGAGAAAGCUAUUAUGAAAUUUUAUGAUAUUUCAAGUUAUGAUUUCUUACAAGGGGUACACACUUAUUUAUAGGAGGUUUUAAGGCGCUGACAUAAGCGCUUACCUCAGCGAUUACAUCAUCGCUUACAUCAUUAUUUAUUUUACAUGAUUUUAAACAUAUUAUAUUUUAUAUGUAACAUACCGCUUAAUGAUCCAUUUCGAACUCCAGCAUAUGUUCUUCGCAGCAUCCAUAAUGAUCACCUGGACAUUCAUACGAGUUUUCGAUCAUUUGUGCAUCUUCUCCUGGUUCAACAUUUAUGUAGAAUUGGAACUUCUUUUCGAUUUCUUCAACAUUUACUUCAUCAUCUGGGGAUUGAGCGUCUUUGAAGUAGUCGGCACAGUAGUCUUGAGAAGUCGCCUGGGGAGUUGUCUCUUCUUGUUUAUCUUCUUUUGGACUGCUUGAUCUUUCUUUGUUGAACUUCAUCAUGUGAUACUGUAAAUCUUCAUCAAGUUGCAUCUGAUAGUCGACCGGAUAAUAAACCCAGUUGGGUAUGAAUGGAAUGGGGAACGUUUGUCUUGCAUUGUUGAGGUGAAACGCAUGAGUUUGAAAGUUUUCGUAUGCUUCGUUAUCCUGAAGGUUGAAAUCUGGACGAACUCCUCUUGGAAAAUCACCGUGAUGAAUGAGAGUUGGAAGAGCGAGGAUUUUGCUUGUUUUGCGGUUGACCUUAACGGGACGAUGAAAGAAGUAGAUUGAAUGUGGAUUGAAGAAUGGGUUGAGUCCACCUUUCUUCAACUUCUUGAAUGUUAGAUUUGUCGCAUUCGCUGAUCUUCGUAGUUUUCCACUCCAGACAGUCAAUGGUGAAAACCACCUUAGGAACGUUGAGAAGCUGUCUCUUUUGUCUUGAACAGUGUUGACGUAGUGGUACAGCCAUUGGAUGUCGAAAGCAAUUCCUACCGUGUAUACGGCACAGAGAUACCAGAGGAAACAGAGAACUUCUCCUGGCAUGUUUGAAUUUUCGAUCCUGUAAAGAUGAGCAAACGGAUAGUCAGGAUGAAUUCCCAUUGGAGCAAUGUGAUGACAGUUUACUCCAUAGUUCGUCAGGAUGGUAGAUUGAUAUGAGAAGAUCUUUGUGCGUAGUAGCUCAUGAAGCUUGUUUCUGCUGAUGAGUUGAUGAACAUCUUCGGGUACGUCUGCUUCAAAGUCAUAGUAACUCUUCUUGGUUUCGGAGGAACUGGCCAUCAUGUGUAUCUCGUCGGGCGUUUCCUGUUUUACUGGUUUUCGACUUAGCAUGUCUGCCAAAGUGUUUUUGGUGCCCUUUAAAUAGACUGACUCGAAAUCGUACUUUGAGAACCACUCACUCCAUCUUAGUAGCUGCUGAUGCGGGACCAUCUUCUGCUUGAACUGUAACAUCUUGGGAAACGAAGACAUAUCCAUUUCUAUGCGAAACUUGUGUCCUAUUAGAUGAAAUUCAAACUUUUCGAUAGCCUUUUUGACUGCUAAAAUCUCCUUGAACGUUGAGUGAUAAUGCUGUUCUGAAUCUUUGAAACGACCACUCUUGUAUCCACAGAUUUGUCUUUUCCCAUCCAUCUCUUCAAACAGUAUUGCUCCCCAAUACUUAUCGCUAGCGUCUGUCUGUAGAAUACGCAUGCCUGAGGAGGGAAUCUUUAAAGGAGGUAGCUUUUGCACUUCUGCUUUUAGACUUUUGAUAGCUUCAGUUUGUCGUGAUGCCCACAAAGGAGGAUUUUUCGACAACAUCUUCUGUAGAGGUCUUGUCAUUCUGGAAAGGUGUGGAAUAAAGUCUCCCACAUAAUUGAUUACUCCAAGAAAUUGUUGAAUUUGUCGCCUUGUGAGAUUUUCAUCAGGAAAAUCUAGAAGUUAUGUAGCUAAAUGGGCCUGUGGUGUGAAACUUCCUUCUUUGAUAUGCAUGCCAAGAAAAUCAAUGUUGGGCUGGGCUAUUAUCAUUUUUCUGGCUGAUAGCAUGAUUCCACUUUUCUUGACGAUAUCUUGAAACUGUUGUAGCGCCUGAAUAUGUUCUUCUUCAUUCUUCGAGAAGAUGAGUAUGUCAUCAAUGUAUAUAAGGGCUGUGUGUAACAACGGCUCGAAUAUACGUAACAUUGCUUGUUGAAAUAGCGAUGGCGCCGUCUUGAGACCAAAGGGUAAGACAUUCCAUUGAAGGUGUCUAUUUGGAAGGCAAAACGCAGUCUUGUAUCUUUCUUCAGGAUGAACACCGAGUUGCCAAAAUCCUGACUUCAGAUCAAACUUCGAAAAUAUUUUUGCACCUUGGAGAUGUUGAAGAAGCGCUCUUUUAUUUGGCAGUGGAAACUUGACGUCUUGCAGAUACUGGUUCAACGGUUUGUAAUCGAUAACUAAUCUGAGUUUUCCUCUUGCUUGUUCUGCACGAUUAUUAACGUAGAAUGCUUUGCAUGCCCAUGGAGAGUUUGUUCUUGAGAUGAUACCUUGAUCCAUCAAUUGAUUGCAUUCCUCAUUUGCCUUCUGCAACAGUGUUGGAGGCAUUCCUGCAUGGCUUGCUUUUGUUGGUGUUGUGUGCACAUCUUCUUUGAAUGGUAGGGAUACGAAGAAGCUUGAGUUUAACCAUAACGGAUGGUCGCACUUUUGAAGGAACUCUGUGUGUGAAUCUGCACAUGAUGCCAUCUUUAGUUCUUCCUCAAUUUUGUUGAAUUUUGCAGAUGCUGAGUCUUCGAUUGAGAAUAGGCGAUGCAUCGUGGUAAAGGCCUUGUAGAGAUUUUUCCAUCUCACACCUCUUGGUUCAAGAGAAAUACCGAACUUCUUCUUCAGUACCGAAUAAGUAUCCCACCCAAGAAUUAAGUCUUUACCAGGUGCAGAUGAACCUAGUACUUCCUUAGUAACUUGACAUCCUGGGAAAAGCUCGAUCGUUAUCGGUUUUGAUUUUAGCCUAACCGUCAGGGAUCCAGCGUUUGCUACUCUGAAAUCUUGUUGAUAAGGCAUCCACAUGGCUCGUGAGAGUAUCUUUGGAUUUAUGAUUGUUGUAUGAGCUCCUGUGUCGAAGAAUGCGAUUGCGUGCACUGGCUUUUCUCUUUUGGAAGGAUCGAAGAUGGUUACUGGUAGAUGUGGUGUCUGCAGUUCGUCUUCUUGAGGCAUCUGGGUAAUCUUGAAACAACAAUCAUCGUCUCUGUCAUCUUCGGAUGAGGAUUCGGAAGAUUCGUCAUAAUCCGAAUAACUGCAUAUAGCAUCAUUCUCGUCACUAUCAUAAGAUAGUAUUGACUCGAGAUCGUGGUUAUCAAUAUCAAGAUCUGGAGCUAUCUUGGAUAUCGAAUGAAUGAGAUACUGCUUCUUCUUUUUAGACUUGUUUGGACAGUCUUUUGCAAAAUGCCCCGUCUUUCUGCAUAGAAAACAUCUUGAAGUUUUCUCGAAGCUUUUCUUUUUCCUAAAGAACCGCUUGCGUUUAAUCUUGUUGAAAUAUUUCGAUUUCAAGAAUGAUUUCUUGGAUCUUCUUCGGUCUUUUCGUCGAUCUUCACAUGAACAAUUUUUCUUUUUCGAACAUUUGAUGUUCAGAUCUGGUCGAGCACAUAUCUUCGAAAGAUGCUUUGACUUGUCCAUGAAUUCUGACCAAAAUUCUUUCUGCUUGCAAAGCUUGUCAAGAGUUCUGAACACCUGCUGCUGUAUCUGUCCAAUCGAGAUUUCUUCGAUUGUUUGCCCUUGAUCUCUGAUAUACAGCUUUGUUUGUUGACUUAGGUAGUCGUCGAUGGAUGAGAGAUACACCUGCUUCAGGCUUGGAUUGUUUAGACCAUUGAGAGCAUAAUACCUUCGAGUUUGCCGCUCGAAAUGCUUUGCCAAAUCUCUCUUCUUCAAUGAACAACACUUCGCUGUGUAGAAUUCUUCUUGUAGUUGUUCUUUUAAAUGAUUUGGGGUACCAACGAAUUCUCUAUGUAUUUCUCCAAGAAGUAGAGGUAUCGUUGUUUGAUACACCUGCUGCUGCCGAUAUUCUCCAAGCGAAUUCCACCAUUCUUUUAAUGCGCCUGACAGUCUUGAUGUGAAUUGUUGUAUCACCACUUCUGUUGGGGAAGUGAUUGCUUCGGAGGUCAUCCACGCAUGAAACUCGUCGAGACGACUAUUCCAUUUUUCAAAAGGAAUGUCAUCGAACGUGAACACCAUUAUCUUUGAUGCAAAUUGUUUCUUUGGUACGCCUUGAGCUUCAUAGCUCAUCUCUUCGUCACUUGAAAUUUCUUCAUAGAUCGGUUCUUCUUUUGGAAUAUGUGACUCAUCUCCGAUUGCAAACUGAUUUGGAAGAGAUUUAUCAGUUUCUGAUUCAUCGACGGAAGAGGUUGACUCUGAAAGAGCUGAGAUGUGAGCCAUUGUAACAAUUGGUAGCGACUGCUGUUCUUUUGAUUGAACUUGCAAUUCUUGUCUUUCAUCAUCAGAUGUUUUCGCAAGAUUGUCUAGUAAACUAGACAUCGAAAACUCGAUCAUCGCAAUUUCUUCUUCUUUUGCAACAUCCUCUUUCUUUUCUUCUUGAGCAGACUCAUGGCUUGAUGAAGAUGUGAAGCUUGGCUUCUUGGAUGGAUUGAUGGGAAACUCAGAAUCCUUUUGACGCCUUGGUUUAGUUCUUGCCGCCUUUGUUUUGAAAUUGCUGAUUGAGGUUGUACCGAACCGAGAUGUAAAGGCUUCAUCCGAGGAUAAGAAUCCAGGUACAGGCUGUUUUGGUUUUGGAUCUUGAUAUCCAGACAGAAAUCCUGGAGAAUAUGAUUCUUGAUAUGUGGGUAAUCCAGAUGACAUAUAGUCAAAAGGAUUAUACAUAUUCACUCGCCUCUGAUUCUGGACUAGACUUUCUAGGCUUCUUUGAAGAUCUUUGAGUUGAUAUUUAAGACUGGUUUGUUCAGCUUCUUUACUUCUGAACUGAGAUGUAUUAACCUUCAUUUGUUUCGCCAUAGCCAUCAUUUCUUGGUGCAAGUUGCUGAGUCUCUGUUGAAUCUCUGAUAUGGCUCCUUGCAGACUGUUGAAUCUUCUAUUGUUGUUCUCCGACAUUUAAUCAACCUUGUGGCUAAUGGAUGUCAGUAAUUGAUUUUGAACAAAGGCAUUUUCUGUUUGCCAGUUGAGAACCUUUUCUGCUUGGCUUAAUUCGUCUGGUCCAGCGGAGUUGAUGCUGUUUGGAACAAUUUUUGGUGUAUGCAGCACAUUGUCUUUGACAAAGUCCUUUGGUGGAGGAAAGUCCGUUCUUAUCAUCAUGAGUUGCUGAGUUGCUUCUUCCUUCUUUGUUGAAUACUCGACUAUGAAGUCGUAGUUGUCUUCACCAAGUGGACCAACUGUAGGAUCUCCUUCAAGGUAGCGUUUAUAGAGUGGAUCCUUCUUUUUUCUCCGUCUUCUUCGCUUUUCAUCAUCCGAUUCAUAAGAAUCUUCUAAACAUGCGGUGCAUGAGCAGACAUCGAAGUAGCAAUGUCCGUUCUCAUCUUUGAAUGGAUAUACGACAGUUCCAUUCUGCCCAAAAGCGAUUGGUUGAAGAUCUUUCUUUUUGACGGGAUCAUAGAACUCUUGCUCCUCAAUUUGGAUAGUGAAUUGAGUAAAGAGUUUCUUUUGAAAAGAUGAACUUGGCUUUUCAAACUUUAUCUCCGUGGUUCCGUCGCUUCUAGAGUGAAAGCUUACGUCAGAUGACUGAAUCGGUGCUUGAGAUGCUUGAUGUAUCUUCUCAUAGCUUGUUACCCAUGACUCUGGCAGUUUUCGUAGCAAUUCCUCUCGAGAUAUCUGUCUCGGGAUUUGAAUAGAGUUGGGUGCUUGUGAUGCCGAUGUGACUUCAAGGUAUAAAGCUUCAUCUGAUGCUGGUAGUGCAAGAUCGAGGGCAUGAUCUUGGAUUCUGUAUACGAUCUGAUGAUGUAGAGUUGCUGCCACACUUUCUUCUUGCAUAGGUGCUCCGAUUAGUUGUAAUUGAACCUUAAGCGCCUUCAGGAGAUUUGGAUCUUGUAGUGAGACAUUGAAAUUGGGAAACAGUGUUAUGAAUACUGUUCCUGCGUUCAGCGUUGUUUGUACUGUUCCGAUGCAAGCUUGUUGAUAGGAUUUGAGCCUUGAGUCAAGCAAAGCAAUCCGUGCUACAACCGGUAAACCUUUUCGAGCGUGUAAGGUUAACCCGAUUCGUACCACACCAAAGUGUAGAUGAGUGUAGCCUUGCUGCUGCCAUAGCCUUGGAAGAUGCUCCGGGAUAUUUAGCGAGAUGAAUUGUUCUUCUUCGGUGGCUGGAACUUGACAUGAUGAAAACUUGCUGGAUUGUACAUACUCCAAUACUCGUCGGCUGGAAGAUGGCCUGAUCAGAUCGCGAACACUUUUUACUGAAAAAGCACUAGGCUUUUUAGCAAAGUAUUCAUAAGGAUUAACCAACGGGAGAGUUGUUUCCGGCAACUGAUCUCCGGGAACAUAUUCAAUCUCAUACAAGGAAUUUAUCUUAGAAAGAGAAUUAUUUCUUUGGAUUUUUGGUAAAGUAGAUAUAGCAAAUUGAGAAUCUAUAGAAGGAUUUAGCUGAGGGUGUUUAGGAGGCUUAGAAAGAGACAUGAUUGAGAGUUCGUUUUCCAGAACAUUCAAAACGAUCAGUCAUAAACAAUGAUUCUCUCUACCUUCACACAAGUCUUUGGCUCUGAUACCAUAAUCUUAAAGCUAGCACGAGCGGAGGGUCGUGUUGACUAAGUCUAGACGACAGUCGUGUUUACUAUUCAGAUGAACUUGGCUUUUCAAACUUUAUCUCCGUGGUUCCGUCGCUUCUAACCCCACACGUAACAUUGCUCUGUUUGUACAUGAAACAAAGAACUAACCCCACACGUCGGUUGGAGAGAGACUGCUGCUCAGAGAAGCAACGUACUUCUGCAAUUACAAUAAAACAACAUUCAGACAGGCUACAAUGAGAAAAAGCUUGAAGAAGGCUAAUAAAAAUAUGGAGUUAUUAUUGAAUAGUACCCGCGAGUUUUUAGUCUGAAUGACAUAUCUAGCAUCUUCAGAGUUUGGAUUGAGUAUCGCCGUGCAUGUAAAAACCUAAAUGACGAAAAUCUUAUCAAGAACCUUGUAUAUCCAUCACAUCGCUGAAUUUGGAAGACUCUGAGUGAGAAAAUAUCAGAUACCCGCAGAUUUUGUUCUUCAUCCAUCAUUUCUUCAUCGCCGACAAGAUCCCACUGGCUUCGUGGAGCCAAACCCAUGUCAGAUUCUUCCACCCCUGAGAUCAACCAGUAAAAGCAUUCAAAGACAAAAAAAACCAAAAUAAGAGAGAGUAUUCAUGUUUUUACACAAGAUCAAAAUGAUUCAAGAAAGUCAACAACGCAUUGUUUUUUCAGAAACAAAAAAAAAGCGCACCGCAUAUAUCGUUGAUCUUCUUUUCCCUUUCUUUUAUCUCUUUUUCCAGUUUCCUUAUAGCAGCAUCAUAAGGUCCUAAUGCCUGGAGUUAAAUUGAAAAAAAGAAAAGAAAAAACAGAAUCAACAAUAGUUCCUACUUGGGUCACUCAAGAACAUAACUUAAGAGUUCGAGAUAAAUGCAUUAUAUCAAUCUUGGAUUUGUUACUAGAUGAUGACGAGAAGAACGGACCAAGCAAGAACAGAGUAAGCCAAAUAACAGAAUCAUCCAUAAACAUGCAUGAUUCGAGAUUGAAGUAAGAUUCAAAAGUAUCAAAUUACUGAAACUUCUAUAUUGGUAGAGGUAACGAAUUGGGCAAGAACUACGAUGACGUAGGGAUGAAGAAAUAACGUACAUGGGUUUUGAGAAUCGCAAUGUCUUCUUCGUCUAUAGGAAUAUGCUUCUUGUCCUCAUUAUCGUGCUCCAUUGUUACUCUCUCAGACUCUCAUAAUUAUAUUUUGCUUCGAUCGCUUUACUCUGAAGGAGAAAGAAAGAUGAAUUAUAUAUUUCUUGAAAGAGAGGGAAAAAUAUGAAGGGAAAUAACUUUUAAACAUAUCCUCAGGUUUCGAUUACUAUUUAAAAUCGCCCCUUUACUUAUUAUCUUAUCAAUUUCAACCCUGCAUCGUUUCGUCUGAGUAGGUAAUAUUAAAAAAUCACCUCUUUUAUUUCCUGUGUAAUCAAAUAUUACCCCCUUGUUUUAAACUAUUGCAAAUUUAGUCCACGUUCUGUGUUCAAUAAAUCUUGGUAUACAAUUACAUGUUUCAAAAGCAGUCAAGCUUGUUCUUAUAAACCAAUUACAUGUUUCAAAAGCAGUCAAGCUUGUUCUUAUAGAACUGAAAAUUCUCAAGCAAAAAAACUCUAUUUCACCGACACAAUCACAAAAUCGUCGGAAAAGAAUUAAACGAAUUUGACAUUAACGACGCCUAUUAUAAUACAGGUAAAGAAGAAGAACCAUGGAAACAGAGGAAAGUUAACGAAUGUGUUGACUUUUUUUUUCAUUUUCAGCUAUGAAGUUUGGUUCUUCGCCUCUACAGAGAUACUCAUCGCACAUCGAUGAAGUUCCCCAGUCUUUUCUUAGCCGCAAGAUAUCCUCUGUAAAAGUAGAACCCGAUGCUCCAAUGAAGACACUGGACAUUGCACAUAUAGUCUUAUCCAACAUAGCAUCCACCUACACAUUCCAGAAACCAAAGCAUAAGCAAGUGAAUCUCUCCUCAAAGAAGACGGGAACAAAGAGUCUAAGGAUUUUUCUCACACCAAAGACUGUUACUAGAUCAUAGACCGUUAUAAUGGAUAUCUUUUCAAUACCACAUUGGAGAUACUGUUCAAGUAGAGAAUAAAGUCUUUGGCCCUAAACAAGUAAUAAAUUCGUUACCUGAGAGUCAUCUUCUAUACCAUGUCUAUACAACAACGAGUCCCACUUUUCUGCAGAGUUGCGAGGUGGACGUUUGACAAGGGGAACGACUUUUCCAUUAACGACUACUAGUGACUGAAGCAGACCGGUUUCGCUUUCUGCAGCAUCUGUUGAAAGGUAGAUGACUGGAGCAUUGGCCCUUUCCACCAUCCGACUGAUGCAGUCUGCAGCUUGUGGUAUAGGAUAAAAACAACUUGGCGAUUUUGCAUUGCUGGCAAGAAAUCAUUCAUUAGACAGAGCCAGCUAUUAAUGAGACACAGAUUUUGUUAAAAUCCAAUCCUAGUCCCUAUAUCGAUCAUCAAUAUCAGCACAGUAUUCAAUUGCUACACAGACAAACUGCUGGAUGGAGAUAUCCCAAUCAAUUGAGUGUGGGCUACACUAUGAAGAUACAUAAUGGCAACAAUGAGAAGGUUCCAUAGCCUAAAAAGGGAGAGAUGCAACAAAAAAAAAACUCACCAGAACUUAAGGAACCCAUGUCUACGGAGAUGAAGCGAGAUGAAAUUCUUUCCUAAGAAUGUCUGGAUGAAUCGCUGUGCCGUCACCAAAAUGAGCCUACUGGGUUCGAUCAGUGUUUUACAUUUGUGAUUGAUGGGUCCACCAGGCUGCAUCACCAAAUCUUGCUCCAUAUCAGCAUAGAAGACAUCCCCUAUGGCGAUCACACCAUCAUCAGACUUAAACUUUUCCACUACCUCUUUAGAAGUUCGCUUAGUUGGCUUCUUUAUAUCUUCAAUCCAAGGAGCCUCAAGCUUCCCACCAAUGGAAACCCCCAAUCCCUUCAGCUUCUUGAUAUGAUCCUCAUCCACAUAACAAGGCUGUGGCGAUGAGAAGUAACAGAUGAACCUGUCAAUGUGAGCAUUGUUCUUCUUAUCAAUCUCCUUGAACUGAUCAAAAGAAAUGACAACAGUUCUUCCCAAGCACGUAUUAAUCCGCUCUAUAUCUAUCACUCUAUCAUACUGGUAAUCAAACUUAGAGCUUGGAAUCACGAGAACUCGAUCCAGCAGCGCAGCAAAGAACAUAUGUUUCUCUAAGCAAAUCAAGUGGUUACUCAUUUGACCUGAGAGACAGAUAGCAAAAAGGAACUUUUCUGGUCUAGGCUUCCAUUCGAUCGUUUUCCGCUCCAACAACUUCUGAUCUACCUUUUUACACCUAUCAUCGUAGUAAGAACCAGUGAUACUAUCUGAACCAGAACCAGUGACUGAGUAAUUCCCAGUCUUGUGUGGUGAAAGAAGGACCUCUUCGAUUUCCUUAUUCACUGAAAUCUGCUUCAGUAGAGCAGCUUUCACAUUGUCUAUUAAUACAGAAGAACCAAUUGCAUUCGAAGAAUUGAAAAUCGCACGGUUCAACAGAGAGACAAGUGCGAGCUGUUGCUGCCUCAGAAGAUUCAGAGCUUGGAGCUCAGAUUCCUUGACCCGACUCGACAUUGGAUCAAGCUUAAAGCUCGAGAGAUCUACUGAGAAGAAUCUACGAGUAUCAGUAAAUAAGAACAAAAAUCCGACGAACAGAGUUAGAGAGACGACAGCAACGACGUAACGCUUGUUAACUGAGAUUUUCCAACGGUUUCGAGCUCGCGAUACGAUUUCAUCGAUCUGAAACGCCGAUCUUGGACUCCUACCACCGCCGUUAGCCCUAUUUAUGGCCCUGGCGGUGGUGACGGAGUGAAGCUCGUCUUCACGGCGGAGGUCGAGAUCGUUGUCUCUGGUGUCGUUCUGUGGGAUUAAAUUCCGGUGGUCCUCUUCAUCGUCCGACGAGUUGCGCACCAUCGACGAGCUGGAAAUCUAUGGGAGAUAACAAAUCCAAACAGUACGAUUCUUCUCAGAGUAUCCAAAUCUCCAAAUUCAAAAAAAAUCGAAAUUCGACAGAAAUGCGAAUAAGCAAAUUAAAAUUAUUAAGUUAACAUUAUUUAACCGAUAACAAUAAUCACUGGACUGGACUCGAGAAGAAGAUUGGUAACCAGUCAACGUCGGUGGUUGAAGAGAUUGAACCGGUACAGCCAAACCACUUUUUUAAUUUAUCAUUAUUGUGAUGAGUAUGGUUUUUCUUACUAAUGGGCAUAAAGUGACAAUUGCUUAAUUGGCCCAGUAUACCUGACAAUUCUACUAUUUCAUUAGUGACGAAUAUUCUUGUAGCUACUCUGAAGAUGUCAAAAUUGUGUCUCGGCUCUGUGUCACUUCUGUUUAAGAGCCUUCUUUGUCAUUAAGUUACUACAAAAAUAUUGCAAAAAAUUGACGAAUUAACCUGUGAGCUCUUGGAGAAGUACAAUUUGAAAACCAUACGGUUCUAUUUUAUCAAAUCCAAACCAUUACCCUCAAUUCAUAUACUAUACAAAGUAGUUCCAACAAAGCUACAAUAUGUAUGUAAAUGUGAAACCAAACUUAUGUUAUCUGCUUUUACAAGCAAACCAUGAGGGGCUAAAAUGAGUAAGUUCAGACGAAGAGCACUAGACAAAAGGAGACUACUCUUGAUGCUGAAGAGAGAGAGAGACAAGGAGAGAUUUUACCCGAUGGGUUGUCCAGGUCGGGAACUGUUGCAUAGAAAUUACAGUUGAAGUAAAGGCAAAGCCAUUACAACACCGAAAACCGACACUAGCAACAGUAUUAUCCAUGCUGGCAAUCCCUGUUUCUUGUUCUUUUUCCUCUCCUUCAAGCCACCUUCUGAGUCCUCCUUAGUUGGAUCGAUGGUUUUCUCUGACUCGACUUUGGUAUCGCUCUUUUGAGGAGACUCUGAUGUUGUCACUUGUGUGGCAGCUUGCUCAGCUAGUUGCUGCUGGUUGUACUUCUCUACGUACUCUGGAAAUAGCUUUCGAAAUGCUGGGCUGUGACAUGUAAGAACAUUGGAUUCAGGUUCAAGACCAAAAGCAUGUAAGCUUGGGACUGCAUUCAUUCCUAUGUUCGUUAUCUAACCAGCUUUUAUGACUAUCCUAACCACAAAUAACUAAAUUUAGCUUCUAAAUGAAUCCAGAAUUUAACAAAUUUUGAUGGUGGGAAAACCUUACGUUUUACAAUUGAACGCUAGAGAUGACUUAGCCAACCGUUGUUUCUCAGCUACAGUAGUGUUCACACUUCCAGUUGUCGGACUGGUAUCCAUCUGCGCCACAAGUCAAACGUUUAGAGGAAGCUUGGGAACAGAAAAAGAAAAAAAUCAUAAUAAUAUCUAAGCUAUAAACCAUUACAAUAUAAGAAAAUGAAAAUUUUCAAACAAGAUGUCCAUAAAUUUGUAGAACCUACAAAGAGCUUACCAUAAAUGAGAGAAGGCCUGUAAGUAUGCUGCAUUCGUGAAAAAAAGUGGGUUAUCAACAGGUAUAUCAAUUGUCAUCUUCCAAAGUAAAGAAAGAAUCUAUACCUUGACACAGACCACAUCGGAUUCCAGCUCUCUGGGUGAACUGUACAUGCCAUGUAAAUUUAUUUAGAUAUUGGACAACUUAAUUGAUACGAAAUGAACAGAAAGUGCAGAUUGUCCUUACAAUCACUCAUAGACAAACAAAUUUUCUUUUGUGUCAUGAAUCGACCAUUUGGUGUAGUCAUUCUGAGGCCAACAAAUAAAAUAUUUGGUUCAUUAGAAACUUGACUAAAACUGAGGUAAGAUUAAUGUUGAGACUGAAGUCGGAAGAACCAUUGGAACAUACGUAAUCCCAGGUGGCUUGUAAGGAUACUCAGGAGGAAACUUGAUCUUUCCAUAGUAAAAACCCCCUGUUAAAAAGAAUUUUAGUAUCAAAAAUAAGAUAGUCCAAAAGACAACACUAACAAGAAACUUUCAAAAGAAGAUUUUCACCUGCAAAAGGUGUUCCCUCACUACCUUCCAGCACAUAAUCUGUAAGAUUAAUUCACUAGUUAACUCUACGUUAGUAAGAGAUCAAUCAAGCUACCUUUUUAACAUACUAAAUGUAAUACAAAGACUGAAACUCCCUAACCGCUAACAGCCUUUCACAAUUGAGAAGAAAAAUGUCAAAUCUAUGCAUUGUACGUAUAUAUAAACCUUUUGAUAAAUAAGUCUUCACCGUUCUAUCAAAGUGAUGGUUAAAAUGUGAGACGUCCUCUGUCUACUUACAUCGUAGUAACCCAUUGUUUCAUAGUUUAACGUAUAUUCACAAGUGUAGCAAAUAUGUCCAUCAUAUAUACCUCUUCCUAACACCUUUAUAGAAAAGCUUGCAACAGGAUUACGGGAAGCCAGCAGGAGAAAUAAAGAUUAAGAAAAAAAGAUAGGAAAGGCUUACGCCACUCGAGAAUGUCAUUUGGGGAAGGACGAGCAACAACAUGGGAGACUGGUUCCUAAAGGCCGAAAACAGAACAAAUUAUAAAUAACCCCCAAAGAAACAAAAGAAAAUAUGAAACUUACUCUAGAACAAAACCAAGAAAAUAUUCACAUACAGAUACAGCAUCAUUGGAAAAGUUGAGAGAGAACUGGUUGAGUAAUAAAAAUGAGGAAUAGUGGUUCUUGCUGAAGAGGUGUGGAAAACAAGAGAAGAGAUUGUACCUUGCAAAGUGCUCUAUAUUCCUUUUGAAGACGUUUUAUACAAGCCUUUUCUGCCAUCUAAGAGCUAUGGACUAAGUGUGUAGCUGCAGCUGCUGUUAAUCAAUAAAACGAAAUAUAAAUUAGAGUGAAAGUCCACCUACUUAACUUAUGAAAUGAACCAAAACACAUACUAAUUCCGUUGUCCGAUCAAUUAGAAAAGGAAAGCAUUCCCUGUAUGCCAAACAGAAUCAGUGGUAUCAAUGGUUUACCUCAACCUUGGACAGAAAAAUCAACCAAAUACACACAAGAUCAAAUGAAACUUGAAUCAAACAACACUAUGAUAACUAAAAAUCCCCAAUUUCCAUGAGCUUGGGAAAAUCACUGCAAACCAAUUGAAAGCAACGAAAAUUCAAUUGAAUUCCAACCGAAUAAGAGGAAAUUAUCUGGAAAAUAUCUCAACCUAGCAAAUCGUUUGAUUCAACCGAGAAAAUUGCAACAACAGUAAACGAACAAAAUCACAUCAGAAGAAAAUGCAGCGAAGAAAUUCCAAAGUAGAUAACAUCAGAUCGAAGAAAGAAUUGCGAAAAUAUGAAAGAAAUUGAGCACCUCAAUCGAAAUUUUGUCGAGGAAGAUUUUCUCUCUGGGGUUUCUCGUUAAUUAAUCACUUUCUCCUUCUCCUCGGGUUAGAGAGAGAGAGAGAAAGAAUUAGCCUAAACUCGCGCUUGGUUUAUCUAAACCAAACACAAGUUAGACCGGUAUUGUAUAAUCCAUUCCGGUUCGUUAUUUGUAAGCCACACACCCACCCCACAAGAUAAAAUAAAAACCCAUUUCUAAUUGAGGAUCAAUGAUUUGAUAAUUCAUUUUUGCGUGAUGCACUUUUCCCUAUUUCUUUAUUCUCCACUCAUCAAAUAAUCUGUGCCGGUUCUUGGAAUCAACUUUUCCUUCUCUUCACAAAAUGAAAACAUAAAUAAAUAACUGCAGAAGAAAAGAAAAAACAAUUUUGUGAAUUAAAAAACUAGUGAUUAGUAGAGCGACAAAACCGGUGUUACCUGCAAUUUUUCCUUUCUGAAAUUGGACUUACACUAAUACCUCCAAAUUCCAAAGUUAUGUCUUUAGAGCAUCAUUAUAGGGGGAUGUUAGCUGAAUCUUAGGUAUUAAAGUGAUUUAAAUUAAAUAGUUAAUAUCUUAAUAAGCUAAGGAACUAAAGAACGUUCCUUAGCUUAUUAAAGUAUUAACUAUUUAAUUUAAAUCACUUUAAUACCUAAGAGGUGCCACGUAUCACGUUUUGAUUGGACGGAUUUCACAUAUUCUACAAAUACGCUUUCUAAUUUCUUCGAUAAUAGAGCUCGAGUUCGUGAUUGAGGUAUGCAUCAACAAUUGAAAAAUGAUUUGGUCGAGCAUAUAUGGACAAAAUAUAGAAGAAAUUAAGUUUAAAAUAUUUGUGAUUUAUGUUAUAAAUUGUAUCUCAUGUAUGUUUUAAUUUUUUUAAUUUGCAACAAUUAUUAAAUUUUCUAUAAAUAUAAAUUUUAUUUUUAUAUUAAUAUUUUUUUUUCUAAGAACCACAUGUUAAGAGCCUACCAUUAAUCACACAAAAAUCUUAACUUAAAAAUACUAAUCUCUUAACAAUCACUUUUACAAAUAAAUUAUUUAAAUAUUACUAAGAUCUAUCUCUAUAUAAUGAUGCUCUUAGGGCAUAUGCAACGGUAAAACAAGAAGAUAGUUCUUAAUUAUUAAAAUAAUAUUAAAGUUUAUAAUAUCUAAGAACAGUUCUUCAACUGAUGCUACAACAGUUCUUCAGGGAGAACAUCUACCCAUGCUCUUGAGUAUAUGUUCCUCAAUUUUAUUAUUUUUAAAAUCUAAGAACAGCCCAACAAAUUGGCCUCAUAAAUAUGGUCUUAGAAAAAACUUAUAAUAAAAUGAAUAAAGCUAAGUUUCAGCCUCUUUUGAGUUCCCCGAUAACAGUAGGCAGAAAUCACGUGCUCUAAUCACAUGACCACCAUCUCUUUCUCUUAGUUUCAAAGCAGUUACACGAGUUAGGUAAUGUGAAUAUGUGGAUCUUUGUCUCUACAUAUGAUAUUGUAUCAUUGUUUCAAUGUAGAUGCUGAGGAAUAUCAUCAUCAUCAGUAAAUGAUUAAGAAUAAGAUAAGUAUCUCACCAUCUGAUUAAAUAGCAAUAGUCAAAGUAAGAUCACGUGAUCAGAUCCCAAUAACUAUGUGUUCAAACACACACAAGUCUUUUUCUAUAAAACCAACAAAGCUUUAGAAGUCUCUCGUCCCUCUCUCUCCCUCUUUCUCCAACUCACAUCUCUAUCCAAUAUUUUCUCAGUUACAGUCACAAGUUAAGAGGUUGCAAGAGUCCUAACGGAAUUACAAGAAGAAAACUCACAAUGAAAAGAUACUGUUCAGUGGCUCUGGUUCUGUUACUUGUAGCUUUCUUUAGCAGCAAGUAUAGUGUAGAAGGCCGUUCUCUGUUAACGAUGACACAUUCGAGUCAAGCUCAGAGAGAUUUGCAUGUAAGCAAGGAGAUGAAGAAAGAGCCACUUAAGGGAGAAAAAGAUAGCUUCAGAAGAAUCCCAAGGAGUGGCUCAAACCCUAUACAGAACAAGUAAUGAAGAAACGAGACACGAUCUAGUUUUUUUUUAAUGUAUCCCCAAAGAUGAGUUUUAGGUGUAAUUGACAUCAAAAAGUGUUUCUUUUUGAUUCAGGUGUAAUCCACCGGUAGAUGUUAAAGGAAGUAGGAACCAGCAGAUCACAGCAUCAAGAAAACCUUAAAUUUUAGUUCUUUUUCUUUUUGUCCUUCUUAGAUCCUCUACUUUUUUUCUUUUUUUCAUAGAAUAGGUUAUCUAGACAUGUGUGUUCUUAAUGCUGUAAUCUACUUGAAAUAUAUGAACUCAUCUUUUAAUCUUAUUGAUCAAGAAAAUGCCUAACUCGAGUAGUCUAACUUUCAAAUUCUCAACCUCUUUGAGUGUCUGUGUUCUUCUUCUGUCUCUGCUUUGUGGUUUAUUUUAUUAACUUCAGCAGAUUUAUCAUCAGCCAUAACUCAUGUUCUUCUCAGUGAUGCUUACAAUGAUCAACCUCUUUCUCAUUUUGGUUCUUAUGCUUCAAAUGCAUCCUCAGAUCCAUAAGAUAAAGAAAAGUGCUAUGCAGGAAAUUUGAUUUUCUCUAACCAAAUGCUGAACAACCCUCAUAAUAACCUGAUUGUUUAGCUGCCUAUCUCGAUUUCCACUGAGUACUUCUCACUACAAAACACCUACAAUGAAAGAAGUAAUCACAGUGAGAACUAGAUUCGUACUUCUCUAGUACGCCGAUACAGAUUAUUUACAAAACUUUUGGACCAAAAUAAACAAAGUGGCACCCAACAGGCCAACACGUUACUGUACUACCUUGCAUAUAUAUUACAGUAACAGAAUAGAUGUCUGAAUUUUGGAAACUGAGUUUACUAAUAAAUGUCUGUACUACGUUAAUUUUACUAAAAAUUAACAUAUAUAGUGAACGAGGAAAACUAAAAUUGCAAGUAGAAGAAAAUGCCUACAUCAGCAGCCUUCAGGGGUUGAGGACGACGCUGAGAAAACCGCCGCCGAUUAGCGUUUCAGCAUAAAAGCGUCGUCUUUUUGCUGGUUAAUAAUUGGGAUUUGAUAAAAGUUUUCCGGUUGGGCCGGAAGAGAGUCUCUAAACCGUAAGUCGGCCCAUAAUGACCAAAUUUGAAUAGCGAGAUUUGUCCAAAUUCUAACAGCGUUUUACCCGCCGACUCCGAACAAUAAAACACAUGGUUUUGUCUAAAUCCACGAUCCAGAAGUUCUUUUUGUCGAAUUAAUUGUUCAAUUUGACAAACCAAAAUCAACUAAUAAAAGCAGAAGAAGAAAAUCAUUAUUUUUUUAUUACGACUAAGAAAAUAUCAUAAGUGGCUUACGGAUUGUGGAAACACACUAAAAACAAUAAUAAUCUCAGUACUUUUGUUAACAUAAAAAAAUUCUCAUUAUUUUAUUUACAUUUUGUUUACUACUUUAGUUUGAUUUUUCGUUGAAGAAGAAAAAUAUAAAGUUUGAUUUUUGACAUACUAUUUGGUAAGAAAGGAAAAAAGGAAAACAUUAAAUAUUCGUUGAAAAAGGUUUAAAGAAAUCCGUUGAAAAUAAAGGAAAAUUACAUAAAUUCCAAAUCGGUGGAUGGUCAAAAAAAUGUCAAAAUCAGUGUGAAUUGGAGAGAGAGAGAGAACACAGGAAUUGGGAAGUUUCGUCUUUGAGCAAAACUAUCCAAAAGCUAAAUUUGGAUUGAGCAACAAGCUUUUAGUAUAAAUCCCUGAUCACACAUCACAAAUGCGGAGAUUCGUGAUUGGUCAAGCUAAAAAUCUCAUAGAUCAGAGUCGUCGUCGCCAACAUAUUCAUCACAAAAAUCUCAGCUUUCUCUCUCUUCUUCCUCCUUUUUCUGCUCCUUCCGAUUCUUCAUCGCGCCACUUGUCUUCUUCUUCUUCGGAGAUGUCUGCUUCUGAUUCCUCUUCCUCUCUUCCCGUUACUCUUGACUCCAUCAAUCCCAAGGUCCGUUUUUUUCUUUUCUUUUUUCCUCUUUUCUCGCCUUUCUCUUGUUCAAUCAAUAGUUGAUCUUUUUGGGUUCCUUUUUUUAGUGAUUUUGCAUUCUGGGUUUGGAUUAUUUUUCCUCGAUUGAUCUGGGUUUUUCGCAAGCUUUGAUUUUGUUAUAUACUCCGAUAAAAUUUAUGAUUUACGAUUUGUUAAAGCAAAGAGCUUCGUUUAAUUUCUUCGAGAUUGCUCUGUACUUGAUUUAGGGUUUCUAAGGUUGAUGUUGUUUUAACAACCUCUCCUUUUGGGCAUCAUGUUUCGAUUUUAUGCAUAUUGUGAUUCGUAUCCUCGUCUCCGCAUCUCGAUCAUUGACCCUUGAUAGCUUUAUUUAUUUCUUUUACGAAUUAUAUUAUCCUUUGUUUAUUUAUACACACAUAUAUCAAACUGGGACUUUUUAGAAUCCAUUUUUGUUCUUUAGUUUUUUGCGGAUAUUAAAAAAAGUCUGUUGCAUUCUGGAUUCUUCAUUUGUUCUUCCUUGUGCUUACCUCAUACUUUUCAAUUGAAUAGUUUAUUGUCAAGGAACAGUUCUGCUUUUAAAAUCUUGCUAUAGUGACUGAUGUCUUGAAUAUUUUCCUUGGUUUUUUUAUUUCUUUUUGGGGGAUCUCAGGUUAUCAAAUGUGAGUAUGCUGUCCGUGGAGAAAUUGUCAACAUUGCUCAGGUUAACAUCAUUGUCCUUGAUUGUAUUUUUCUAAAGUGGAGACUGUUUGCUCAUUUUGAUUUCUGCUCCCAUUACACAGAGGUUGCAAGAAGAUUUGAAGACUAACAAGGAUGCUUAUCCCUUUGAUGAGGUACGUUAUAAUUGUUUUAGUCCUUUUCGUAUGCUCACACUUGUUUCUUAUGAAUGAAGCUUACAAGAUUCUUCCCUUUUGGCAGAUAAUCUACUGUAAUAUCGGGAAUCCUCAAUCUCUUGGUCAACAGCCUAUAACAUUCUUCAGAGAGGUAAAUACGUGAGCUUUUAUAGUACUGGUUUGUUCCAUAUGUUAUUCUUGACUCAUGAGUUAACUUGUAACAUUUAUGUCUCAGGUUCUUGCUUUAUGUUCCCACACUGCCCUGUUGGACGAGAGUGCAACACACGGUUUGUUCAGGUACCAAAAGUGGUUUAUAUGUUUUAUUACCUCACUAUGUAAUUCAGCUUCUUAGUUGUUUUGAUUCUGUGGUGUAAGAUUGUUUAAACAUUGAACUUUACAAAUUUUAUCAGCUCUGAUUCAAUUGAACGUGCUUGGAAGAUUCUGGACCAAAUUCCCGGGAAAGCGACUGGUGCUUACAGCCACAGCCAGGUUUGUGGCAUUGUGAAUCUUGACAGCAUCUCUCUCUCAAUGAUGAUUCCCUCUCUUAAUCUUCUGUUCUGCCUCAGGGUAUCAAGGGGUUACGUGAUGCAAUUGCUGCUGGAAUCGAAGCCCGUGAUGGUUUCCCUGCUGAUCCUAAUGAUAUAUUCAUGACAGAUGGUGCAAGCCCAGGGGUAACGAUUAUCAAACUAAUCUUAUCUUAACUCGUAGAAUUUGGAACACCUUGUUGUGAAGGUGACAGUGAUGUUCCUCUCCUUCUAGGUUCAUAUGAUGAUGCAACUUCUCAUAACUUCAGAGAAAGAUGGAAUCCUUUGCCCUAUUCCUCAGUACCCAUUGUACUCAGCUUCAAUUGCCCUUCACGGUGGAACUUUGGUAUGUUCGUUAUCUUUGUUUCUGAUGAUGAUAUCAUUUUGAUGCAUGACUAUGUCGACUGGAAAAAUGAAUCUGCUUCCGAGUUUCUUUGUCUUUGUUCUGAUUUGCCGUCAUCUUCUUCUCGUAGGUUCCGUACUACCUUGAUGAAGCAUCAGGAUGGGGUCUUGAAAUAUCUGAGCUGAAGAAGCAACUUGAAGAUGCUAGGUCAAAGGGGAUCACUGUGAGAGCUUUGGCAGUCAUUAACCCUGGAAACCCGACAGGGCAGGUAAAUGAAUCUUCAAGACUAAAACUCACAAAUUUAUACCGAUGCGAAUUUCACAGUUUCGUCUAAAUUUGACCUCUGCUUUGUUCUGGUAAAAGGUUCUUGCGGAAGAAAACCAGCGUGACAUUGUUGAUUUCUGCAAGCAAGAGGGUUUAGUUCUUUUAGCAGACGAGGUUUAUCAAGAAAAUGUGUAUGUCCCUGACAAAAAGUUCCAUUCCUUCAAGAAAGUAGCCCGCUCUAUGGGCUACGGUGAGAAGGAUCUUGCCUUAGUCUCUUUCCAAUCAGUCUCCAAAGGUUUUACAAAAACCCAAAUCUCUUAGUCAAUUGAUAAUUCUGAUCAUUGCAAUGGGAAAUUAGUCACAAAACAGGAUUAACUAUUUUUGACAGGGUACUAUGGAGAGUGUGGGAAAAGAGGUGGCUACAUGGAGGUUACUGGAUUCACUUCUGAUGUAAGAGAGCAGAUAUACAAAAUGGCUUCUGUGAAUCUUUGUUCCAACAUCUCUGGUCAAAUUCUUGCUAGCCUCAUCAUGAGCCCACCCAAGGUACAAAACAUCUAAUGUGACUUUCGCAUUACAAUUAAUUCAGUUUCCACCAGGUGGCUUGGACUUGCACACCGAUAAUUGACCUUAACAUUUUUUUUAUGAAAUUUGAUCAGCCUGGUGACGACUCCUACGAAUCAUACAUAGCAGAGAAGGAUGGAAUUCUCUCAUCUUUAGCAAGACGUGCGAAGGUUAGCCAUCUAAUAGAGAAAUAGGAAUAUUCAAGAUUAGAACUUUUUGUUCCUAAUACGAUUGAACUCUUCUAACCUUGCAGACUCUUGAAGAGGCACUGAACAAGCUAGAGGGUGUUACAUGCAAUAGAGCGGAAGGAGCUAUGUAUCUAUUCCCCUGCCUUCACCUUCCACAAAAGGCGAUUGCAGCUGCAGAGGCGGAAAAGACAGCACCAGACAAUUUCUACUGCAAACGCCUUCUAAAAGCUACUGGAAUAGUCGUAGUCCCUGGUUCUGGCUUUAGACAGGUUUGAAAAAAGAAAAAGCUUUUUCUCCAAAGAACCAAACUAAAAUCUCAGUUGCUAAUAUUGAUCCUGUGUCUUUUUUUCGGUUUGAUGUAGGUACCUGGAACAUGGCAUUUCAGGUGCACUAUACUUCCCCAAGAGGAUAAGAUUCCAGCGAUUGUUGAUCGUCUAACUGCGUUCCACAAGAGCUUCAUGGACGAGUUCCGCGACUAAACAUUGUGUUUUCAAGAUCUCUCUAUAUAGAUAUGAGUAAUAAUGUCCCAUGCCGUUUCUUUUUCAUCGACUUUGUGUUUACAGAAGCUAAGAUGUGAGAGCAUUAGUUAGUGCUCUCUUUCUUAUUCACCUUUUGUUCUGCUCUUUUUAUAGUGAAAACCCAUACAUUAUAUAAAUUGAGAGAGUUUUUUAUAAACGGUUGGUCAAAAUGUUUAAAUGUUAUCUUAACAAGAAAUCACAAGAUUAAAUCACUGUUGAACUUCAAGUUCAAAGUUUCGAUUUUUUAGAAUCAUUUUCGUUUCUCUUCGUUUAAAAUAAUGUACGGAUAAAUAACUGCAUAAGAUUGCAGAAAAAAAGAUGUGAUUAGAGACGAAACAGCUGUUACCUGCAUUUCUUUUUUUCUGAAAUCGGACUUACGCUAGCUAAAAAUGUAGACAGUAAUCACGUUCUCUCUAUUCACAUGGCCACCAUCUCUUAAAUUUCAAAGCAUGCCUCACAUGAGGUAGGUAAUGUGUACAGUACAAAUGAUAAUGUAUCGUCGAUUGAAUGUAGAUGCUGGAGAAUAUCAUCAUCAGUAAAUGAUUAAGAAUAAGAUAAGAAUAUCACCAUAUGAUCAAAGAGCUGCAGACAAAGUAAGAGUACGUGAUUAGAUCCCAAUAACUAUGUGUUCAAACACACAAAUCUUAGUCUAUAAAGCAACACGUUUUAAAAGUCUCUAGUUAUCUAACUCACGUCUCUAUCCAAGAUUGUCUCAGUUACAGUCACAAGAACAAGUUACGAGCUUUCAAGACUCUUAACGGAUUUACAAGAAGAGAACUCACAAUGAAGAGAUACUGUUCAGCGGCUUUGGUUCUGUUACUUGUAGCUUUCUUUAGCAGCAAGCAUAGUGUAGAGGGCCGUUCUCUGUUAACACAAUCCGGUCAAGCCGUGAGAGAUUUGCAUAUAAGCAAGGAGAUGAAGAAAGAGCCACUUAGAGGAGAAAAAGAUAGCUUCAGAAGAAUCCCAAGUACUGGCUCAAACCCUGUUCCUAAUUCUUCGGAUAUGUCUGCUUCUCAGUCCUCUUCCUCUCUCACCGUAACUCUUGACUCCAUCAAUACCAAGGUGGUGUUUGUUUUCUAUAUCUGAAUCUAACUCUAGUGACUCAUGAUGUCUUGAACCUUUUGUUUAAUAAUAUGGUUUUUUUUUUUUUUUUUGUUUUGGGGGAUCUUCAGGUUUCUUAAAUCUGGUCAGUAUGCUGUCCGUGGGGAAAUUGUCAACAUUGGUCAGUGAUGAGACUGCAUGUGUUGAGGGAGCUGAGGUGGACAGACGGUCAAACGUGAAAGAGAAAAACCCUAUUGCAAGUUUUAUGGAUUAAGCUAAGAGUACUUAUAUACUCUAUGGUUUUAAUUUAGUUUUUAUUCUGUUUCAAUAAGAGUGGCUGGUUUUCCUUUCCCAUUUGUUCUUAAUUGUAAGAAUCGCUUGUUUCCUUCGUUAUUUGCUUCUUCUUGUACUCUUAUAUAAAAUGAGAAAAUGCAGUUUCAAAAUACUUAUAUGUUCUAUAUGGUACAUGUGCAGGUCAAAUCUUAAAAAAAUAAAAAAUGGAAGCUGGUUUAACUGAUAGAAUACUUUUCUACAUGAUGUAAUAUGUAUGGUUCAAAGAUUAAGAAUCCAAACAACUUAAUUCCAAAGUAUGAGAGGUAUACAAGAUAUAUGAAACAAUCUGAAUAGCAUAAAAUCAUAUAAUAAAACUAAAUCAAAUAUUUUAGAAAUUCAUUAGAGGAAUACUUCACGAGUGGACUAAUCAAUCACCGUUUUGAUCACCUACACGGCAUCGAGUAAUCCCAUCAGUCAGAUUUUCCAAGUUUUGCAUAUCCAUCGGUGGUUUCCAACCCAUCACAUUGAUUGGCCAUGCCGGAACCAUCUCAACAGUCCGAUCGUUACCCAUCGCAACGAUCUUUUUCCCUAUAUUUUCUCUCAACAUACUCAAUGCUGCCAUGUACUCUUCAAGCUCCUCUUCUGGCACACUCUCCACCGGACGCUCCCACCACGGUCUCCUACUUUCCUCAUCCGCCACGUUAUCACCGGAAUAUCCCUCCAACUUCACCGGACUCUUACGAAGAUACUUGUCUAUCAAUGCGUCUACAUGGCCAAAUCUGUAGAUCCUACCGCAUUUAGAGAACGUUAUGACAGCGAUUUUGGCGCCCGUGAGAACGCUCAAUUCAGCAGAUUUCUUGAACAGCCCACGACGGCGUUUCGAGAACGUUACUUGUCUCUUGGUCUCUUCCUCGAUUAUCUUGAUCUCUAUCUUCUGUCUUCCUCGUGUCGUUUUAGGGGUUUGUGUUGUUUCCUUUUUUGGUUGACUAACCAACAUGUUAGGGCUUUGAAGUGGAUCCUUGGGCGUCAAGCAAGUCAUCGUUGAAGUUUCUCUUUCUUCUUCCAUGACCACCAAGCGAGAGGGAGGAGAGAUGGAAAUAUCAUUAGGUUUUUUCUUGGUCGUGGGAUUUAUAGUCGUUCAUGAUUAUGUAAUAAUAAAGGAAAUUGUCUUACUUUUCUUCAUUUAUGGAAAUUUGGUAUUAAAUGCAAUUCCAAUUAAUUAAUAUUUUUCGGAAUGAUUCCAUGAAUCAAAGAUAGACUUUCGUAAAAAUGUAAGACAUGUGUUGUCUUAUACAAAAUUUAUAGAAAUAUAUAAAUCCGAGAUACUACUUUCCAUUUUACUCGUUUGUUGAAGAAUCGAUUGUGAUACAUAUUAUAUUUACAUAAUAUAUACAUUGUCGACCUAAAUAUACGUGAAUCGCGUUUACCAUCACAUACACGUACAAACGUAGCAUGUAGAGCAUUAUGCCAUGCAGAGCCGUGACUACCUCUUUAGAAAAAGGACAAGUGCCCUAGGCCACAGUUUGUGUAAUAAAUUUAAGAGGCCACAUUAAUCAUAAUCUUCUUAGGUUUUGAUCAUAUUGUCACUCUAAAAGUCAUUUUAUCAAGGUUCUAUUCCAAUAUUUGUAACAUUUAUCAUUCUUUCUUUCUUGUUUGGUUGUUGUCUUAGUCGUCUCCUAUAUCUUUUAGGAUUUUGUUUUUGUUUAUUUAGAAUAUAUAAUCAACUAUGUAACAUAAUUAAAGAAAAUUUUGCCAAAGGCCACUAAGCUCGUAAGCACGGCACUGAUGCCAUGCCAGACAGAAGAAAAACAUAUGACGUCGUCUUGCUUACAUUAACAUUUAAGAAUUCCAAAUAUCACGGUAAAAUGUCGAAAUGACAAAUUGAUCAAAUAUUCAAAUUAAUUAUCUCAUUUGGGGCCAAGAAGUGAUUUGAUGAUAUCUUUAUUGAUUGAUUACAAGUGAUCCUAAUCCAAAUAAUGAUUAAUGGAAAAUUUUACAUUUUGCUUUAGCAAAAAACAAGAAAAUUUUACAUUUUUGAAGAUAUUUAGUCCAAAUGAAUAUUGCCAAUUAUCUUAACUUGGUUUAAUAGUUUGAGAGCCAUUCAAGAUGUAUAGGUAAUUCAACAGUUUCAGAACCAUUCAAUUUGUUCAGAAAGCUGAAGAGCAAUUUGGAUUUGCUUUCGUAGUUUUGAAAUUAAGAAUUUGGUUCCUUCAGUUUUUUUAACUGUGAUGACCGUCUCGUUCUAAGACUAACAUACCCAUUUUAUUUGGCCAUAUUCUUUUUUUUUUAGUCUCAAUUUUUUUUAUUGAUAAUUUGAAUCCAAUGUAUACAAAGCCAACAAGAAUCGAAAUUCUUUUCGAAAUAUAAAGAUGGCGAGUACAUAAACACUCCCAUUAACAAAAUCUCAUGCCGUAAAAAAAAAAAUCCCAUAAAAAAGAAACAAGCUAGUGAAUAAAACUUUGAAAACGAAAUAAAGUGGUUAAUAAGUUUGUCAAUGUAUGUGGAAGAUUCUAUUUAAAUUUUUGUUUCUUAAUAUGUUAAGGGUAAAAAAGUAAAAUCAGUAAAUUUUUCUUUCGCCGAAUACUUUUUUGACUCCGGUGGUCAACGUCGAGCCGAGACGGCAAACUUGAAUCAGUUUUAGAAGAGAGCUUCGACGCUGCAAUUGAAAAAUCAAAAUCUCUCCGACCUCCGAAACUGAGCAGUUGAAAGAGAGAAAAAUGGCGGCGAAGACGAUGAGGAAGGCGGAGGAGCUGGUGGAGAAGGCGAUGAAAGGAAACGAUGCUUCUCAUGAUGACUGGCACGUGUGGAGGGUCCGAGACCUUGCUCUCUCCAUUGCUCGCGAGGAAGGUCUCUCUUCCAGCUCCGACUCCAUGGAAAUUGUGAGUUUGAAAAGUCCCUAAAUCCCACAGAACCCUUAAUUGCUCUUCGUUAUCUAUAUCACAGAUUCACAGUGCUAGUUCAACUGAGCCUGAAGAAUCUUCUCCUAGUUAGUUCUUGUAGUGAUACUAGAAUGUGAGAUGUUUUUUUGUCAAAUUUCAAUUUUUGCAGGUGGAACUUGCAGCUCUUCUUCAUGAUAUAGGUAUUUCGUUUGAUUUAUUUUCUAUUAAAGUCAUGUGUUUAUUAUAGUCCACAGUUUGAUCAUAGUAUGUAUCUCUUGCCCUCUCUCUUAUCAGGUGACUACAAGUACCUAAGGUUUGUUUCUCUUAAGUUUUCUUUUCUUUUGAACCGCUUGAGUAGACUAAUGUCCCUUCCAACCAUUCUUGAUCAUACUUCCACGAAAUAAAAAGUGUUUACUUUGCCCCUGAAACUCUCUACGUUCCCUGUUUUUAACUUUGUUUUAACUAAACUGGAUGAACAAAGACACUUAGAACUUGCAAGUGUAUAUAUGGUCUACUCGUAAUUCGGGAGCCUAGGCACUAGAUUCCAUCUGUUUGCAAAUCCUAUAUUGGAUGUCAUUAGGUGAUUUGCUCACCUUAUGAUUAGUUAGGCUCUACUAGGUGGAACUUUGUGUGGAUAUAAAAAUAAAAACUACUCAACUAUGAAUGCUGAAGACUGCUUUUCUUCCGCUGAUAUGUUGCUUCAUGGCAAAAAUAUGUUAUAACCGGAAUUCAGAGACCCUUCGGAAGAGAAACUUGUUGAGACUUUCCUAGAUGAGGAGGGUAUCGAAGAGACCAAGAAGACCAAGAUACUAACGAUCAUCAAUGGAAUGGGUUAGUUUCCAGCUCCUACUUUUUACUCAACAUAUCCAGUGUGCAUGAGUUUUCACUACAAUUAAGUAAGAUUUUGUAAAAAACGCACUCUGUUGUAUAUCAAUUUGUCAACAGAACAAGUGUACUUUUCCAGGUUUUAAAGACGAAUUAGCAGGAUUAGCACUCUGCGAAUCUCUUCCAGAAUUUGGGAUAGUUCAAGAUGCUGAUCGCCUUGAUGCAAUUGGCGCCAUAGGUACAAAUACUUCUCUUUUCUUUAGUUCUCUUCUCAACAGUUUACCUGCUUUGAUGUCAUCUGGAGAUUCUCUAUGUUAGGGAAUUUGUGCUAUUAGUUGUUGUUGAUCUCUUUCCGUUAUAGGGAUUGCUCGUUGCUUUACAUUUGGUGGAAGCAGGAACAGAGUGCUCCAUGAUCCUGAGAUCAAGCCCCGGACAGAGCUAACCAAAGAGCAGUACAUUAAGAAAGAGGAGCAAACUACAAUUAAUCACUUCCAUGAGAAACUCCUCAAGCUAAAGAAGCUGAUGAAAACUGAGGUAAGUUUAACCGCAACUCUAUUAGACGCGGAAAAUUUGUUUCGAUUUGAAUGUGGGAUUGGAAAAUAUCAGGCGGGUAGAAGGAGGGCAGAGAAAAGGCACAAGUUCAUGGAAGAGUAUCUUAAGGAGUUCUAUGAAGAGUGGGAGGGGUCGACUUGAAAAGUUAAGAAUGAUGCAUGAAGAAGGAAAGCUGAGGUUGUGUUCAACCGGGUUUAAUUGUAAGAUGUACCUACCAAACCAAUAUGUGGUUUAGGUUUAAAACAGAGUGGCAACUCUAUUUAAAUACCUCGUGAUUGUUAUAAUAAUUACUUUAUUUUAUGGUGUAUAUAAAUAUAUUUAAUGGAGAAAGAAUUUAUACCCGCAGAAGGAUCGGGAUACUGAAAAUAAAGAGAUGAGAGGAGGAGAGAGAGUUCUUAUAACUUCUUAUUGUUGAAGUAUGAAUUGUGAUUUUACAUCGAACGAAUUCGUUCGUUUAUAUAGGCGUAAAAAAGUAAAUUACUAUGCGUGCAUAGUGACGGUGGGCUCCACAUAAAUUAAUAAAUAACGAAACGUUUAACCCAUGUGCGCAUCUUUUGCGACUUUACGAUUCCUCCUUUUCACGACUUUUAUAACACUCCCCCUUGGAGACCAGUGUCACUAUGUCUCUUGCGUAAUGUCUUCUGUUGCCUCGUUAAAAACCUUUCUAGGAAAACCCGGUGCCAAUGAUUGUGGAAGAAAUCAAGCAAGGUUUACAUGUUUAGAGCCGGUCUUUUUCUUAAAAUUUUUUUUUUUUUUUACGCCAAAGUCAGUUGUUGUCUUUUUCGUGAAAGGUUUUAUAAAGUUAGUGGGUUUUUUUUUUGUCAACUGGUUUAAAUAUUGACUUUCUAUUUUCCGUUUUUCAGUCUUCUUUAAAAUUUAUUAGUGGAAGAUGAUAAGAUGUCUUCUCGAUGUUUAAGUGGAUUAAGUCAUUUGCGAGGCUAUCAUCGGUCGGCCAUAAUAUAACAUUUACAUGGUUUGAAUUUGUAUAUUUUUAUACCAAACUGACGUGAUUUCAAAACGUAUUGACGAAAACUUUGUAUUAGUGACAUUUGUUUUCCCUAGAAUUUUGUAGUUUUCUUUCAAUAUCAAAUAAUAUUUGGAAAGUGAGUUUACUUCGUACACAAGGAAUUUCUGUUGAAUUUAAUGAAAAAUAUAUAUAUAAUGCAACGAAUGGGAUUGGUCACGUUUAAUCAAGUCGUUUGGUUUGUAUAAUAUUAAAAAGGAAUAAUUAAUCGCGUUUAUACUUCUAUUACCAUUCUACAUAACACAUGUCUAACAGCCAGAGGACUAGUGAUUCAAAGCAUCGAACUGGUCGGCCAUUACGUGUUCAAUUUGUGUUUUAAUAAAAAGAAAUUAGAGUUAAUAAAGAAAAUUGUGUUUAAAUUAAAAGAUGAACACAAUUCUUUCGAUGUAAGGUUGGAGUGCCUUUAAGCGUGCGAUCUUCUCAUUCUCACUGAGAUGCGUGUGCAUACCGGUAUGUGGUCAUUUCUGCAUGGCAUAAUCUUUUUUUUUUACAUGGCAUAAUCUUUUUUUCCCCAGAUUAACAUACCUUAGAACGGAAAGUGAAAUAUGUUGGUACAGCAAAAAUUGCCCUAAGGUUUAAUAGUAAUUCUGGCAUUUCCUUUCCCUAAAAAUGAUUAAUUAGCCAUAUCUGUAUUUACGAAGAAAGGAUAAAUGUCGAUAUUGAUUUAAGAAUUAGUCGUAUCUUAUCGGAAUUCUGAAGCUGGAUCAAAAUUAACUAAUAUAUAAAAACAGAGAGAAUAUCAUCAUCGUGUUAUUUAUACAGCUCCUAAGAAAAAAAAUCAUCAUCGUGAAUUAUAUUAUAUGGAUUUAAUGUGGACCCAAUCUCUCCCUCCAUGUGUUUAACGUUCAUCUCUACGAGACUACGACAUUCCAUCGUAAGAAAAAAGAAAAGAAAAAAAAAAAAAAAGGCACGAGUCGAUUAACUAAGAUACCAUUUUAUUACGGGUGAAUUAAAUCUUUAUACACGGUUGACCAAAAAAUUAGAUUUCAGGACAUGAUAAUUUCAAAAUUAAGUAAUUAUGAAAGAUAAAGAAACUAUAAACCAAAUAUAUCCUUCUUCUUUUCUUUUGAUUAAUUACAAAAAUGCCAUUGAAUUAAAAAUUGUUUUACUAUUUCAGUUUUUCAUCGAUACUGUUCACUCUUACGUCAAUAAUACUGUUCAUUCCGAAGUUGAUGAUACUGUUCAUCUUAAGAUAGUGUAAAACAUUCUGUGAUUUGUGUGGAUAACUAUUUUAUUACCUGAUAAAUAAUAUAGUGUCGUGAUAAGUUCACUAUUACGUGUUAUAUGCAUAGUUAUCGUGUUAAACUAGUUAUUAUAUCUAACAAUAUACUGUAAAUUAUUAAUUUAAAAUUAUCAAUUAAUGCUUUUUUAAAAUUUCUCUUAAAUAAUUAAUAUGAUAUAAAAUAUCAUAAAUAUAUUACAUAUAAUGAUAACGAUAACAGUAGUAUUAACGCGGUAAAAUAAAUUGUAUAUCGAUAAAUUAAUAUUUAGUACAAUACAAUAUAUAUAUAUAACCAUGCUAUAUAAAAUAUUAACGAGAUACAAAAUUUAAUAAAACGAUAAAAUUUUGUGUAACGAGUUUUAUGUGUUUGAAACAUGAUAAUAUAUUAAUAAACAAAUAAAAACAUAUAGAUACAAAAAUGAUAAUCAAAAUUGCUGGGUUCCAAUGCUUCAAUUAAGAACCGACCCACAAAAUUAGUCAAAUUUCAUCAAAAUUAAUUAAAAUAGUUGGAUCGAGAUACUAAAAUGAAGUGGAACGAGACCUACGAUUCACAGAGAUGUUACGUGACGGUGUUUGCCACACGGUUCCAGUUAUGGAAUAUUCCGAUGAAGGGUUAUCGAGAUAUAUACGGAAGUCGUCGGAGCUCGGUGCUCCCAUCACAUGAGUCCUCCACUUCUUCUUAGCCGGGGAUGAUGAAGAAGAUCGUUGUUGUUUGCUCCAACAAUCUCGUCGUUUUAUCACCGACAUUGAUGUUCAAUAUUGAAGGAGAUGAAGUUAAGAAAUAAAAUAAAGUAAAAAGUAAUUCUUAUAAAAAGAAAAGGGGUAUAGAGUAAAUUCAUGUACCCAAACACUGUAGAAAAAGUUGUCAGAACUCUCACUUAAUUUGUCAUUCUUCUGUGGUUACCGCCUGUAGAUUCCCUUUUACUUACUAAUUUUACUAUAUAUAUAGUUUUAUCCGGUCAAAUACUGUAUAGUCUUAACUAAAAUAAAUAUUUGCAGAAUUUAGAAAAUUAAAUCAGAAAGUGACACACAGAAAAGAAAAACAAGGAAAUUGCCUUUUCUGGAAUCUAAAAAGAUUUGACAAUUCUUUAGCAAAAACAGAAAAAAUAUAUAUAUAUAUAUAUAUAUAUAUAUUUGACAAUUAGAAAAGGUGAAAAGGUAAGAGCCUUUUGUAACGUAACGAGGUACUUCAAAACGACCGCGUAUAAUAAAGUCUAUAAAUAAAAGGGAAAUUAGCGCCCAAAAGGUUAACAAAAUAAAAGCAGAAGCUCAAUUUUACCAUAUUAACAUAACAACAGGUCUCCGACUUGGUCACAUCCUUGGACGGCUCCACUCCUCUCUAUCAUCUUCCCCGAAUCGUCUUCGUCGUUGUUAUCUCCAUCUCCAGAAUUCGGAAAUUUUCUGCGAUUAUCGAUUUUGAUCUCUAUUUCCUCACGCUCUUAUUUUCUCUGUCUGCUCGGCUGUUUCUCUGUAUCGACUGAUUCAGGGAAAAUCGGGGUCAAACCGGCUCUGAGCUAUCCCUUCAGGUUCGAAAUUUACAGAUUUUUUUCUGGUCUGAUGGGAUCAGAGCCUCGGUUCGAACCGAGGCCCGAACUGAUUGACCUACCCGUUCUUCAGAAAUUCAAGCUCUACGCUACUCCCUCGGUAACAAAAUCUCCUCCUCUUUCUCUUUAACUUUGUCCGAUUAUUGAUCUGUGAUUAUGUGAAUCUUAUUCUUCUUAUUUGUCUCUUUUUAAUUAAUGUUUAUUUGCAUCAAUGUGAAUCUUUUUUUCCGGCAACUGAUUUACCGGUAAUUGCGUUGAUACUGUUUACGGUUUAUGGAUUUUGAUUUUGUUUGACAUUCUUGCUUAAUAAUUCCGGUUUUGGAUUCGAGUUCUCUAAGAUAGUUUGGUUUAUUAUUCGAUGAGCCUGUUUGCUUGGCGGUUUCAUAUGGUUGUAGUGUAAGCCAUGAAUGAGAGAGCCUUUAGCUUGACAUAAUGUAGAGUCUUUGGUUCUAAGUUUUCUAUAGUUUAGCCUGAUUCUUCAUGAAUUCUAGUGGAAAUUUUUGAUUUUUCUCAUGUGAAAGCACUACAUUUUGACUUUGAAGUUGUUGAAUGAAUUGGUUGUUGUGCAGAAUUUUUAUUUGAUUGGAAGAGAUGAGAACAAAAGCUUUAGGAGGAUUCUUAAGAUUGAUCGAAGGGACCAAAACGAGUUAAAUUUGUUUGAAGAUCCUACAAGGUAUACAAAAGACGAAAUGCGCGAACUGAAAAGGCGGAUGAUUAUAGGGAAUGAGGAGUCUGGUGGGUUUAAAGCAAUCACAACUUGUUAUGGAAUCAUUGGUUAAGUCUUUUUACUACCACUGUUCGUUGUCCUUUCCCAUUGUUUUUGUAACGUUGUGAACUCAUGGAGCAAUGCUGAUUCUUCUGGUGCAGGGUUUGUGAGAUUCUUGGAGCCUUAUUAUAUGCUGGUGAUAACAAAAAGAAAGAAAGUGGGUGAGAUCUGCGGCCAUACAGUUUAUGGUAUAGCAGAGAGUCAAAUGAUCGCGAUUCCACAUCCUUCCAUUCAGACAAAAGUGGCUAAGUCUGAAGCCGAGCAAAGGUAUUUUAUCGAUAUGAAUAACUCUCUUGUGUAAACUUUAGUGGAACACAUUAUCCGGAAUGUAUUCCCUCUUGUGUAAACUCUCUUGUGUAAACUUUCUAUUAUAGGUACAAGAAGCUCUUAAGCGUGGUGGAUCUUAGCAAAAACUUCUACUUCAGCUACACAUAUCACCUCGUGUAUUGCCUUCAGAAGAACAUAGGCAACACUGAGAGAGGAAACGCUCAUGACAACACAAUGUUUGUGUGGAACUCCUUCUUAACACGCGAGAUCAGAAAGAUCCUGCAGAAUUCCAUAUGGACAGUUGCAUUGGUAUACGGAUUCUUUCAACAGGUAAUAAUCAAAUGCAUGCCUAUGUGAAUGGUUUAGACUGGAGAUUUUUCAAAAUUUUGGUAAUCUAAAGUCUAUUGAUCCUUUGCUUUGUCUAGACUAAAUGUUCAGUAUCUGGUGAGGAUUUUGUCUUCACUAUCAUUGCUCGGCGUUCACGGCAUUAUGCCGGUACAAGGUACUUCUUCAUUUUGAAAGCUUUAUUUGCUAUGUUUUUCUUCUUCUUUGUGUUUUUUUUCUUUAUUUUGUCUCACGCCCUACUUGAUCUCUAACAUAAUUGUAAUAUUGGACUUACGCAUUACCCAAAUUGGAAUACUCAUGAAAGAUAGGGGCUAGUCUUGAUAUGCCUUUGAGCUUAACUCCUUCUUGUUAAUGUGCAGAUAUUUAAGGCGUGGUGUAAAUGAUAUAGGCAGAGUAGCCAAUGAUGUUGAGACGGAGCAGAUUGUUUCCAAAGUGGUUCCUGCGGGUCAGAAAAUCCCGAUAACAUCAGUUGUGCAGAUUCGAGGCUCCAUACCCCUAUUUUGGUCACAGGAGGCAUCUGUUUUCAACCCACAGCCCGAGAUUAUAUGUAAGCACCAUAUGAAUUUGCAAAAAGGAUCCUUUCUUAUCUUGUCUUAAUACUCUUGUUUUUGUCUUUUUGGGUCACAGUGAAUAAGAAGGACGCAAAUUAUGUGGCUACCCAACACCACUUUGAGAAUCUGAGACAGAGGUAUGGGAACCGGAUAAUAAUUCUGAACCUCCUAAAGGUAGGAUCUCUCAUACAUAUUCUAGGAAACUCAAAUUUCAGUCAUUGCUUCUGCCCGUUCUUGGAUUAUUGAAAGAUUGAGUGUAUCGUUGCUAUUUUGUGUUAUCAGACUGAGACAGGUGAGAAAAAGCAUCGAGAAACCAGCUUAAGGGCAGAGUUUGCAAAGACAAUCCGCUUUAUUAACAAAGGCAUGGACAAGGAGAAUCGUUUAAAGGCAAUCCAUUUUGAUCUAAGCAAACACUACAAAAAGUACUGCAUUUAUGCACCUAUUACUGAUUUGUAAUUAAGUCUAAUAUCCUAGAAUUGCUAACCAUUUUUCCUUCAAUUUGGCAGAGGAGCUGAUGGUGCAUUCAACCACUUGUGUAUCUUUGCAAGGAAAGCAUUGGAAUUAACUGACCUGUUUUACUGUAAAGCUCCUUCAGGUGUAGGAGCUGAAGGAGUAAUUUAUGAUUCAUUUUUCAAGUAAGUUUGCCAGUUUGGUAUGCUAUGUCUAGUGAAAAUACAGUCUUCGUGUAACAGUUGCUGUAUGUUUACUGCAUGUCUCUCGAAUACACAAUUUUUAUUGUAUUGCACAUUUCUUACCAAGUCCUAAUAUUAAUGCUACCAUGCCUCAGUAACCCUAUUCCAAGUCAAGAUGAAGAGGCGAGUAGUCCAGAUAAAGAAGCUUUGAAGGCGGAUAUAUUUAUGCUUCAAAAUGGGGUCUUGAGGACAAACUGCAUAGACUGUCUGGAUCGCACCAAUUUUGCGCAGUACGCCCACGGAUUGGUAGCUCUUGGGCAUCAGCUGCGUACAUUGGGUAUCUCAGGACCUCCUGUCGUCGAUCUUAAUAAUCCUCUGGCAAUAGAACUGAUGGACGCUUACCAAAAGAUGGGUAAUACACUUGCGCUGCAGUAUGGUGGCUCGGAAGCACACAGCAAGGUGAAUUGAUUACCAACACAUUUUUCCGUACUAGACUUUUGAUGGAUCUUUGAACUAUGUGUAUCAACUUUAGAAAGUUUAUGGUUUACAGAUGUUCUGUGAUCUGAGAGGUAACUGGAACAUGGUGAUGAGGCAGCGUGAUAUCUUCACAGCUGUACGUCGUUACUACAGUAACGCGUAUCAGGACAGUGAUAAGCAGAACGCCAUCAAUGUGUAAGCUCCGUUUUAGAAACUUUUUGUCUCGUUUUUUCGUCUUUACGUUUGCUUCGUGUUCGUUUAGUGUAAAUAUUAUUUCUGUUGACAGGUUCUUAGGGCAUUUCCGGCCUCGAUUGGGGAAGCCAGCACUAUGGGAGUUGGAUUCUGACCAGCACAACAUCGGAAGAUCUGGUUCUAACUUGGAUAUUGAAAAUAUGAGGUACUACUUUUGUUGAAAAACUGGCUAAACCAGAAAUUAGUCUAAAUUAAGUGACAUGUAACUGCAAAUGACUAAUAUAUCGUCCAAUACACGAAUUGCAGGCCACUAAUUAGAAGAUCAUUUUCCGAUAAUAUUCUUAUGGAUUGUGAUUUGAAUCUGGAGGAGCUGGUACGCGAAAAUUCUCAGCCUUCAUAUGAAGGGUUAAACGGGGGUGUCUCAGGAACCAAUUUAGAGUUUCCGUUCUAUGAAACUGAACCAGCUUCUCUAAGGUAUGAAUCAGUCUCUUUAACUUGUUGCAAGUAUUCAUUAAAUACUUUUUCUGACUUUCAUCCUCUUUCUUUGAUCACAUGCAUCUUCAGCUUCCUCUCGGUUAUGCGCAAUGAAGAUCUUCGCAGAGAAACAGGGACAGGGCAGAUGUUUGAAGGCAGUUCCUCUAAUUCUGAUUCCCACACGCCCAAUGAUAUACCUGGUUUUGCACACUCAUAUGCAACUAAAUUCACUCCGGCUGAAGAAAUAUUUGAACGUUGCAGGUAAAAACAUUCAUCCAUAUGCAUCAUUGCUAUAGCAUCCUGAUACAUUUACGAUAUUCAGACAUGAAACUUCCUUCUAAGUAAGCCUUAUAAUAAUUUUAUAAAUGUUUCUUGCAGCUCAAAGUCUGUUUCGUCAGAUAACUUGUUCACCGACCUGGAUGAAUCCGUCACUUCUUUAACUAAUACGAACUCCAGUUUUGACGUAAAUCUCCUUCAUCUACAUAUCAUUCUUAUUCAAGUUAACGAUUUAUCUUCUAAGCUUUCGCAAACAAAGACACUGACUCGUUCGGAUAUUCCCAUUAUUUACAGUUUCCUAUAAUGGGUGGUUCCGAUUUGCUACCUGGUUUCUCAAAUGCUUUCGCUCGGUGGGUAUUCUCCGCAAGAGCAUGGUAAAAGAGGGUUUGGAGAAGGAAAGGAGCCUCGCACGGGAAGGUAACGGUGGUUACUUGGCAGGUACGGCAGGGUUGAACAGUGUCAAAAUAACAGGAAAGUACAGAAUAACAGCCACAUCUUGUAAAUAUCCGACUCACCUUUGUAAAGGUCAAGGUUUCUUGUUUUUUUUUUGUUCCUGUUCUUAGCAAAAAUGGAUUUCUUUCUUGUUCUUAUGUUUGAUUUUGUUUUUAUGUUUUUGCUAUAUAGAGGGUUUGGUUUGUUUGUUUGUUUUCCAUUUUUUCAUAAUUUAUCACGGCCAAUUCAUGAACCGCAAUUAACUGUGUUAUUAGACUUUGGAACCUAUUGUGUUAAAAAGUUACCAAAACAUAUCAUCUUGAUAAAAUUAUUACCAUUAAACGGAAGAGGCCUGCUUCUCGAGACUGGCCCAAAACACUUUAUAUCCUUUAGACGACAGGAGCCUUUGUAGUGAGGUGGUUAUACCACACCUUAGGCUAUCUUGUCACGUCGUGUGAGGUGGUUCAGCAAGACAGCAACACACCUUCCUCCUUUACAGAGUACUUAAAAAUGUGGGCAAAAGAAAAAGUGUAACAUUUUUAGAUGAUAUGUUUCAAACUCUUUUUAAAAAGUUCAUUAAAUAAAAUCUUUUAACUGGCUGAUUAAACCAGGAAAAAGUUGUGACGCACUCUUGGAGAACAAGAAGAUCCCAACUGGCUAAUUUGCUCUUGCAACUAACUUAUUUGUUCAGAAUAUUUUAUUUAAUUCUUCUCAUUAAGUAUUUUGAUUUUGUUGGCUGUUGGCUGGCAAUUGUUUGCCCACCAAAACCAAAAGCUGUCGGAUAUUUCUGAGAUUAAUAAAAAAAAACAGUUCUUUUCUUCACUGUUUAAAUUCAAUUCGAUGAGGUUGGAUUUAACUAAACAAUAAACGUUCAACCAAUAGAGUUGGUAUGUUAUACACUACAUUGUUUACGAGAACCAGGGGUUCUGUCUACAGUUCAGAAUAUACCAAACGAGUUCUUGAUUACACAAUUAUAGCAUUACUAGGCCUGGGCAUAAUACCCGAACCCGAAGAACCGAACCGAACCCGACCCGAAAAACCCGAUCUGAAUCCGAACCCGAAGUUUUAAAAUACCCGAACGGGUUUUAAACUUCACAAUCCGAAAAUCCGAACCCGAACCCGAACAAGUACCCGAACAUACCCAAAUAUAAGUAUAUAGUUAUAAUAUAUUAGUAAUAUUUAUACUUGUAAUAACCUAAGUGCCUAAAUUAUUCUGAUGUUAAGAUAUUUCUGGAUGUUUUAACUACUUUGGGUUACAUUCGGGUAUAAAAUACUUGAGUUUUAUAGAUUUUUUGAGUAUUUUUCAAUACUUUGCAUAGAAUCGGAUACAAAAUUUCUAAUAUUUGGAUACUUCGGGUAAACGCGAAUCCGAACCCGAAAUACCCGAUCUGAACCCGACCCGAACCCGAAGUUUUAAAAUACCCGAACGGGUCUUAGUUUUCUAAACCCGAACCCGAAAAACCCGAUCCGAACCCGACCCGAAUAUCCGAACGCCCAGGCCUAAGCAUUACAAUGUCAACAUUUAUAUAUUAGUAUUUUUUUAAGUAUUAUAUUUUCGAAGAAAUAUAUUAGUGGAGUACAUUGAACCGAUCACAGAGUCAAAUGCACAUAAGCAGGAUAUUGUUUGCGUUUGAUAAACAGAUUUAUAUCGGAUUCUUUUUUUCAAUAAAUCAUCACAAUGAUUACUACUACUAAUUAAUCAGCAUUAAUCACCAUCACUAAGGUAUUUAACUAAUGGUCUCGGCGAUUAUUUUGUUGUUUGAUUUCUCUUAGGCUAAACUAUUGAUAGAAAAAAAGUUUGGAUCAUUUUAUAAAGGUUUUCUAAACUUUAACUUUAAUUAUUAGCUGACCGUCGACAAUGUGCAGUUCGAUAAGGACACAUAUGCUAAGGUUUUCUUAUGCCAAAUAAAAUAUAUUUUGUUUUAUGAUUUCAAUUGUUGAAUUUGUUUUUUAUUCAAGAAAGUACAAAUACGUAUAAUUAAAUGGGCCGCUUGUGUUCAAAAAAUAAAUAUAUAAUAAUAACUAAAAAGUAUUAAUUUUUGUAUGUAAUAACUAAAAAGCUAAAUUACUAUAUACCCUAUUACUUCGGCCAAAACUGUAAUUGUAAGCGCGACACUAAAUAUAAUGGAGAUCUUAUCUCAAACAUGAUGUAAUCUUUAUCUAACACCCUUGCUUGGUCCGAUUCAUUGCACAACAAUACACAAGAGAAGAUUGUCCACAUACACACGUAGGGACAUAUAUCAACAUGCAUCCACAUACCUAUAUAUAAUAUACAAUAUAGAUUUAUUAAAUUAAAAUACAGAGCAAGGAGACACCAGUUUUACGGAUUCUGUAGCCUCCUUUUAUCUUUCUUAGCUGUUCUCUUUCUCUCCUUGUCCCUCAAUAUAAAUACAAACGAACCCAAUACUUCCUUCUUACGUACCAAGAAAGUUAGUUUCUCAAUUCUUGAUUAAACAUACACAAAACAAUAACCUUAAUUUCAAGAAACUACUAUUGUUAAAAAUCAGAGAUUUUCCCUAGCUAAUGGCUAUAUUCGGGAAACUGACAAAGCUCAAAUCAGCCAUAAAGAAAUGGCCUUCCUUGACCAAGAACCACCAUUCAACCACCGUGUCUACAGCCUCUACAGCCGCAUCCGAUGUCUCAAAGUGCGGAGAUCUCCAUGUGGUUUACGUCGGAAAGUCACGAAGACCUUACAUGCUUAGUUCCCACGUCAUCGCUCAUCCGCUUUUCCAAGAACUACUUGAUCGGUCUUUGAGAUUCGCCGUUGAACAUCACGAUCAAGAGACAGUCUUAGUAGCUUGUGAAGUCGUAUUGUUCGAGCACUUGUUAUGGAUGCUCAAGAACAGUUCCUCUGAUCACGGCGAUGACGAAGAUGAUGAUGAUCGCGAAAGAGGAUCCGUCGAGGAGUUGGCUGAGUUCUAUACUUAUUGACGGCGCGAUACAUAUUCUUAUAAUAUAUACUUUAUUUCGUUAAUUUUGGAAUUGAUUCGACAUGAUCAAAUGCGGUCAUGCACAAACCAUUUCCUUUGCUUUUGUUCAAAUUUUUAGAAUUAGUACUCUUUAACUAAUAGUAUAAUUAUGUCGGACGAAAGAGGGUAGUGAUCUUUGCCUAAUGAUGAUAAAUCGUAACAAUGCUAAAAUUUAUCUUUUAUUGAUUUUGCUCCAUUUUUAUGUACAUGUAUUCUUCAGUACGUAGUUAUUUAUAUAUAUAUAUGCAUGUUAUGAGAUUUUCGAAAGAAUAAAAUUCGCCGCCACGUGAUGAUGCGCAGGGCUACCCAAUUGCACGGACGGUCCUACUUGCCCUUCUAGUGGCAGCAAGCUAGCUGUCAUGGAAGUAUAUUAUAAAAUUACUAACUACGUCUAUAAGUAAGUGUAUCCAAGUUGUAAUGUAUUGAGAUCAUGGUUUGAUACCGGUUAUCUGCGGUUUAAUAGGGUUUAUCAGUCUUGGUUUAAUGUCAUUGGUUUAUUGUAUAUAUAAGCUUAAGCACACAUUUAAUAUUCAAUUAGAUUGUAACAAACAUUCAGGAUGAUUGAAUAAGAUUCUGUUAAACCUCUCCGAUCUUUCUUUUCUUCCGUUUCACCGGAGUUUCACCGGAGUUAAUAUGAUAUCAGAGCUACUCUUUUGAGCUUCCGCAUUCUUCAUCGGAGAUGAAUUUUCACCAUGAUGUUAUAAUACACCCCCCCUCAAGUAUGUAUGAUGCAUGUAUGAUGGUUUGGUUCAUCAAAUCAGGUAUGAUGGUUAAAAUGAGUUUCACCGGAGUUAAUAUAAUGUUAAGUGUAAUUAGGUAGAAACUUCUUGGACUAAUUAAUUAAACAUGACUACGAUGUAUAUAGGCUGAUGCUCCUUAAUUAUUUAUGUAAUUCUUUAUAUAUGUCACGCUAUGUAGGUAAGUGCAGGGCCGGCCCGCAGGACAGGCCACCCAAGCCACCGCUUGGGGCACCACAAUUUUUUUUUUUUUUUUUAAGUUUUUUUUUUUUUUUUGGUAAAAAGGCCCAUAAAAUGAAAAUAUUUGGUAGAAACUAAAGUCUUUUUCGAAAAAAAUAAAUAAAAUAGGGCCCAAACAAUUAAAUUUGAAUGUAAUAAUAUUCAAAAUAUCAUUAUUUUUGUAUAAUUUACUAAAAAUAGGUCAAAAAAAAAAUUUAGCCCUAAAACUUAUAAAUAUAUUGGGCCUCAUUUUAUUUUUCGUGUAGGGCCUCACAAAUGCUCGGACCGGCACUGGGUAAGUGAUAUCCUUGCACUGAAUAUAAUAUUUUCAUAGUCGUACGCCUACAAUGAAUUCUGUAAUUUAAACGUUGAAAACAAAUAUUCGUGUUAAUUGAAAUUUCUUCAUUUACUUUUUUGACUAUUUUUCAUGGUUAGUUUUACGAAUUUUUUGACACUUUGUGGAUGUAUUUUGUUUUUCAAAGAAGUGUUUUACUAUUGGGCAAUGUAUUGGAGAACUUGAGCCAAAAUAGGCCCAUAUUAUAAGAUUGGUCUCACAAAACGACAUCGUGUAGUAGAAACGGCAACGUGCAGCUUGAUGGUCUUCAGGCUGUUGACUGUUAAUCGGUAAACCGAGGCUGAUUGUGCGACGGUCGCGACGGUGACGGCAAAUCCAGUGAGUGAGCUCUUUUCAUCUUCGUUGCAUUUAGUGGAUUCCCUAAAACUUUAGAUAAUUUUGGUUUGUUCUUAGCAUUGGGCUUGUUCUAAUUAUCAGAUCUUCUUGUUUUGAGUUUUUUUUUUUUUUUUUUUUUUUUUUCUCUGUGCAUUUCGGAGCAGAAGACGAAUUGUAAUGUCAAAAAUUUUUACCAGCGUCUGUGAUAAGAGUCGGGUUUUUCUCAAGGAUUUGGUGACAAGCUGUUUUUUAUGGCCGUCUGCAAUUGUGAUUACCUUAUCGAUUUUUUAGCUUACAAGGUGUUUGUUGAAAUGCUUCAACGGGAAAUUUUCUUAGUCCCCACCCUCAGUGGUUUCUGUUUAUAAUGCGUCAACUUCUGAUAUAGCUAAACUUUCAAAGACAUUACCUUUUAUACAUUUCUGGGGUGUGGUUCUGAUCAUUGAGGUUUUGUGUGUGUGAUUUGGUGAUUAACAUUGAAAAUUGGAGCUUUAAUUCCUAACAGUCAUUGUUUUAUAUCUUUUUUCUUAGUUUUCAUCUGGGAAAGCAGCUACAGAAGACAUGUCGAGGUUUCGAUCGUUGUUGCAAGCCUCAGUAAAUGCCACAAAGAAGGGUAUUCACCUGCCACUUCUCCGUCAAUUAUGAUUUCCUUUUAUUCAUAUGUGCUUGUGCUUUUACUUAUUAGAUAGUGACGGAUGUUUGAUGAAAAAAUGACGUUGGUUCUAUGUUGCAAUACUCGCACAUUUUUUGGAUUACAGUUUUAUUUCUCUAGUAGCCUUUAUGCUUUGGAAUAUAGUAGCUAGUGUCUGACUUAUCUUCACCAUUCUACAAACUGGUAGCUCUUACAUGGAACGUUGAAGAAUGGGUACCACCUGCAGAGAAGCAUAUAUUUAAGUUCAACUCGAAAGAAGACUUAAAGAAAUGGCAUCUCUAUUCCGAUUCUGAAUAUGGAGGUACUUAAGCAGUCAGGUUCAAGUCCGUUCAACCAUCUGCUCUGUAAAGAGUAUCUGAUAUUGUUUCUGUUGUUAUUGUCCCUUUCAUUUCCAUGCCUCGGUGACCCAUAUGAACAACUACCGAGACAAAUUAAGAUUUCUGAAGAUCGGCAUUGCACAGAUUUUCAUUGAUUUGUAAACAAUAUGCUAUGCAUUUUAAUAUUUAUCUAAUGGCAACAUGUUUGAUACUUAUUUUACAGGAUUAUCUUCGGCUUCCUUGGAAAUCCCAGAUAAAGGAGAUGGAUCAGAUUGCACUGGUUAGCAACUUAGUAAUUUCUUCUGUGAUCUAUCAUCUGCCCUCCAGCAUGUCUUGUUGUCAUGAAGUUCAUCAAUAAAACAAUAUGAGAUUUCUUCUGUGUCAUCAUUUCUUAAUUUCUCGUUGUGUUUCUACACUACUCCACUUAGUGAUGUUUUCCACCCAAAUAUCUUUUAUAGGAAUUUUCUCGGGGAACCUAUCUUUGGACCUCAGCGAAGGAUCAAAAUGGAACAUCAGUCGAAGUGGUUUCUGUGGAAUGCGCUCAAAGAAGGUUAACAACAGAGAGCUUUCAUUUUUCCUACAAAACAUUCUUAUUCAAAACAUAUUUUCUGCAUGUCAGUCUUUGUUUGAAGAAAAGAAGAAAAAUGGGUUACUAUAUCUUCGUCCUGGUUUUGUAAACGAGAUGUUUUGUGUCAGCUUACUAUUGCAACUAAUUCUACCAUCCUCUGCUUUUGCAGUUUGAUGGCUUCAUUGAUCUCGAUGGGUAUGAUGCAAUAGCCCUGAGGCUCAGAGGAGAUGGAAGAUGUUAUAUCUCUACAGUAAGUUUUAUGUUGAUACUGACUUUACCCUAACUGCAGUUGAAACAACAUAUGUUCUAGGAGCAAAAGGGUUGUUAUACUAAACCUUGAUUUUGAUUCAGAUCUAUACCGAAAACUGGGUGAAUUCACCGGGACAGUCAGAAGAUAACUCGUGGCAAGCUUUUGUUUUUGCUCCAAAGGACAGUUGGUAUACUGCUAAGGCAAGUCCUACUACUUCUAUAGAUGUUACCAACAAAGAGCUUUAGAGCAUUUUUUUACACAUCCUUUUUAUGUUUUUUUAAAAAAUUCUUUAGAUAAAACCUCCAUCUGUAGAUGAAACCCUAACCAAAAAGACAGAUCGCGAUUAUGAGUUGACUUGAAUGUUUCACUUCUAGUCUAAGGCGUAUUAAUAACCUGAGGUUGAAUGUAUCAGAUUCCUCUAGCUAGAUACUUGCCAACAUGGAGAGGAAAUGUUAUAGAUGUGGAAAUGGAGAUGAAUCCAGGUCGUGUUCUGGGUAUGUCACUGUCGGUAAAUGCAGAAGGUGGUGCGGUUGGAGCUAAAUCAGGAGCAGGUGAUUUCCGAGUAGAAAUUGACUGGAUCAAAGCCUUGAGAUUGCCAUAAAUGUUGAACAAUAUAGCAAUGUAUGAUGUUUUUUUUUGUUGUUCUUGGUUUUAGCUUGUAAAAACCAGGCCUGAGUUGAUGAUACUUGAUGGCCAAAAGAUUGUUGCAUUGUCUUGCGGCAAAGUUGGUUUUCAUAUUGAGCCAUGUUUUUACCAUGUGAUAAAAUAAAAAAAAUCAACAUAAUCAAAAGGUAUUCUUAACCUUGUGUUUUUCAGCCUCUCCUUAUUGGUCAACUAGUUUGUUAUAUAGUUAACAAUGUAAUGGUCGUGCUUGAAUAUGUGAGAGUACGGUAGUACUAAAUCGGUGGAGCGAAUACGUUAAUAAAAUUGUACAACCUGUUUCCAUUAUGAACUUACAAAAAUAAAAUGCAAAUUGAAUUUAACAAGGAUAUUAGUGACUUAUUAGCUUAUUUGUUGAAAUAAUAACUAAAACUAUCAAAAUGCUCUAUUUGUACAAUUUAUAGUGUAAAGAAGUUUAUGUUUUACAUAGGUUAGUUACCUUCACUUGAACCCAAAUGGCCCUAUAAUACUCUCUGUGCUCUCUUCUCUUUGAUCUCUUUGAGUCCAACCAAACUAAAAGUUUAGAUAGAGAGAGACACACGUGUAGUCACCGACUCGUCAGAUGGUGGGACAGCUGUUUUUUCUUACUGUCCAAUCUGCACCGUUGGAUCUACUCAUUGCGUUUAUUUUUGCCUUUUUGUUCUGUACAUAGUCGCUUGAUGAUGCGGUUGUUUCAGUGGAUAGCUGGACCCAUUAAACCACCUCUGCUUUAGUUGGUGGGUUCCAUGGUGAAGAAAAAAAAAAGCUGCAAACUUUUGCUUUGUUUGGUACAUCUAAACCAAUCUAAUUUCCUCUUCCGAUUUGUCUCGGUUCGAAUCUGGAUUGAUGGCUUUACAGAGUGUGUAGAGUAAAAUCGGAUAAUUCAUUUCAUUUUCAAGGGAAAAUAUUUCAUGCAUUUGAGAACCAUCCUGUUCUCAUGUGGAUUAGUGUUGGUUUAUAUACUAACCGGUUUGCCCAUUUUAAAUAUGUAUAAUAAGUAUAUAGCUAAUCAAUUAAGUUUGAUUUUGAUCAAUCAAUCAUUCGUCAAAGUUAUAAAAUUUUUUUUUAAUAUAUUACUAUUAAUGUUAAGCAUGAAGGAAGAUUAAUAAAGAGAGAUUAAUAAUUGACGAAAAGACACAUGGGACAAAAGGAAGAAAUGAAAGAGAAUGAGAAGAACAUGUCGCAUGUGCUUAAGUUUACGUCAUACCGACAAUCUAGAAGCAUCUUCUUCAUCACUAAUAAGGUCUCUUUUGUUGUAGGAAAUAAAUAGAUUUUAUUUUUCAAAUUACCAUUUUUUUUCUUUCUUAAUUAGUUGCUUCAAGCUACUUUUAAUAAGGGGUUAAAUGUAGGGUUUGGCCAUUUGUGGCUUUUAGACUUUUGUUACAUUUGAUUUGAUUAAUGUUGAUGUAGUAUAUUUAUUUGAAAACAUAGACACUAAUUUGGGCAAUGAAAACGAUAUUUAGAUAUAUCUUUGAUAAUGUGAAGAACAGGGGUAGCUUGAGUUAUGAUUAUAAACGCAAGACGCUUCUUCACUCAGCAGCACUAAGCUUGCCUCCAAACCAAUCCCAGAUCUGAAUCUAAACCUCUCAAAAUCUCUUCUCAUCAUCAUGGCUUCUUCUUCUAACUACGAUGGAAUCCUUCUCGGAAUGGGUAACCCACUCCUCGAUAUCUCUGCCGUCGUCGACGACGAAUUUCUCACCAAAUACGACAUCAAGUUGAACAAUGCGAUUCUCGCUGAGGACAAACAUUUGCCCAUGUAUGAUGAGAUGAGUAGCAAGUUCAAUGUUGAAUACAUUGCCGGAGGUGCUACUCAGAACUCAAUCAAAGUGGCUCAGUGGAUGCUUCAAAUUCCUGGGGCAACCAGUUACAUGGGAUCCAUUGGAAAGGACAAAUAUGGAGAGGCCAUGAAGAAGGAUGCUACAGCAGCUGGUGUCAAUGUUCACUAUUAUGAAGAUGAGUCGGCACCUACUGGAACUUGCGGUGUCUGUGUUGUUGGUGGAGAAAGGUCUCUUAUUGCGAAUCUUUCAGCUGCAAACUGCUACAAGGUUGAUCACCUUAAGAAGCCUGAAAACUGGGCAUUGGUUGAGAAGGCCAAGUUCUAUUACAUUGCUGGAUUCUUCCUCACAGUAUCGCCUGAAUCCAUUCAGUUGGUAUCUGAGCAUGCUGCUGCAAACAACAAGGUGUUCACAAUGAACCUUUCUGCUCCAUUCAUUUGUGAAUUCUUCAAAGAUGUGCAGGAGAAGUUCUUGCCAUACAUGGACUUCGUUUUCGGCAAUGAAACAGAAGCAAGAACCUUCUCCAGGGUUCACGGCUGGGAGACUGAAGAUGUCGAACAAAUAGCCAUCAAGAUUUCACAGCUUCCCAAGGCCACGGGAACAUACAAGAGGACCACUGUGAUAACACAGGGCGCAGAUCCAGUGGUUGUUGCUGAAGAUGGAAAGGUGAAGAAAUAUCCAGUCAUCCCUCUCCCAAAAGAGAAGCUGGUUGACACCAACGGUGCAGGUGAUGCAUUUGUGGGAGGAUUCAUGUCACAGUUGGUGAAAGAGAAAUCGAUUGAGGAAUGCGUGAAAGCUGGAUGCUAUGCGUCGAACGUGGUGAUCCAAAGAUCUGGCUGCACUUACCCUGAGAAGCCCGACUUUAACUAAACUAUUGGGUCAUCCUCAGCUUUGUGAUAUCUUCCAAAUAAAACAACCUUCGAUUCAACAAACUCCCACGAUUAUUGCUUGAGUGUACUUUUUACCAUUUUUUUACCAAAAUUUUUUGUUAAAAAAAAAAAAAAAAAAAAAAAAAAAAAAAAAAAAAAAAAAAAACAGGGGUAGCUUUUUUUUUUCUUUUUGUUAAAAAGUGAAGAAUAGUAUUACGCGUUCACAUUACGUGUUUUGUUAAUAAUUAUUCCAUAAAGAUUCAUAUCAGAUAUUAGAAAAUUAUAUGCACAUUACUGUACGAUUUCUAGAAAUUAUUUUAUUAUUAGAACUCAUUUUCUUAUGGUAAAAAAGAAGACUUUAUAUUCUUACAUAUGCGAUCGUUAGAUAAAUAUUUAAGAUCUUUUACAUGUUGUCAUGUUGAUGAGACAAUGGAUUUUUUUCUGAAAAUUUUCCAUACAUUGAAAAAGAAACAUCGCAAAGAAGUGGAUAAAAUUAAAAACUACGAAAUUUUGGACUCAUUUAUCUUCUACAAGGAUUGCCAUACAAACAAAAGAAAAUAUAUUCUUAAAUUUGAUCAGAAGAAACAAAAAAAAAAAAAAAUAAUAUGAGGUUGACAAAAUUAAACAAAAAUAAAUAAAUAUAAAUGCGACUUUCGAUUCGUUGUCUCUCUCUCAAACGUAUUAAUAAUAAGUUUGUUUCCCAAAAAAAAUAGUAUGACCGUUAAAAAUCGAUCAUUGGAUGUUUCCAUGUUUGGUCCACAUAGUAGAGCCUUGACCACAUCUCUCCAACUGAGUUUUGGUUAUUACAAGAUUGGCCCCAUAAACCACUUCCUAUACCAAAAUUAUGAAAUUAAUUAACCAGAUACGUUGAGAGUAAUUCCACUGGCCAAUCCAAAGUCCAAACUACUAAUAGUCUAAUACAAUCGAAUAUCUCUAGCAGGUUUGAUGUAGAUAAGCUGUAUACUUAAACAUAUGUGGAGACAAAUGGUCCAAACCGGGUUUUAUUGUUAUUGAUUAAUCCGGUUUACUCGGAGGGUAAUUUGGUAAACUAAAAAUUGGGUGGUAUCUUCGUCUUGACUACUACUACUCUGCGUCAUUUCGUAUUUUUCCCAUUACAGACUGUUAUGUUACGCCAAGGGAAAAAGAAAAGGUGAAAGGUGUCCCAAGCAAGCUCUCUCUCUCUCUCUCUUUCUCCACACGUUAUAUAUCCUACAGUAUUCUUACACAAAGAGACUGUGUGUUUCAGGGCUUGGAAAUAGAGAGAAAGAGAAAGAGCAAAGAGAGAUAAAGCAAACGUCUUCUUCCAUUUGGUAGAAUAAAAAAGAUUGCAUUUUUCAGCAAAACUUCCAUUUGGUAGAAUAACAAGUAUUCAGACACUGUUAAGGCUUCUUGUGCUUUUUUUCUUCUUCUCUUCAACACCCAUAUCUGAGGAUCAGAACUCAAGUUUACUAAACUUUGGAUAGUAACCGGAAGAAAUCGAAUUCUGUUUCAAUGCUGGAUCGGUUAUGUCGUAAGUUCCUCGACUUUUUUUUUUGUAUUAGCUCAAGUUUCUUGCUUUUGAUUAGAUGGAUUUUUUUGCCUGCUUUUUAGUAUCAGAAUUUUGGGAAUUCUGUUUUCUGGGAUGUGUAAAGUUGGGAUUUUUGGAAUUUGUCUUUUGGGUUUUAGUGUUGGGGUCAGAUCCGUUUCAAUUUUUGUGGUUAUUGGAGCUGCGUUACUUUUAUCUUGAAUUGUGGUUAUUGUUACAUUUAAUUUACUCAAUUUUACUCUUUUGUGGUUUCCUCAGAUUUCAUUUGAUUAUCUUAUGAAUGAUUCACAUUUUGGUCUAAGAAAGAGGCUUUGACUUGUGUCAUAAACAUGAAGCCUGAUACUGUUCUUGACUAUGCUGUGUUUGAGCUUUCCCCAAAACAUUCGCGGUUAGUAAAUCUUUUUCUCUUAGGGAAAUGUUCUUUCUCGACAUUGAUCAUGCUUUGUAGUUUUGACCUCAGUUUAAUAUAUAUAUAUAUAUAUAUAUAUAUAUAUAUAUAUAUAUAUAUAUAUGUGUGUUACAGAUGUGAACUGUUUGUAUGGAUUCAUGAAGAAAGAGAGAAACUAGCUUCAGGAUUAAUAGAACCAUUUGUGAAUCAUUUGAGAGUUCUUCAAUCACAAGCUUCGCAGAGAGACCAAUGCUCUGUUAGACUCCAAGUAGAACAAAGCGAAAAUGGCGAAUCUUGGUUCACAAGAAGAACAUUCGAGAGGUCUCAAAGAACAUUUUGUUUUCUUACUUUUACACAAAUAUUUUCGUUAGCUUAACAAUCUUUGACCUUUUCUUAUUGUUCUUUUCCAGAUUUGUUCAAUAUGUUAAUAGUCCUCAAGUUUUGGAAAGAGUCGUUACAUUUGAUUUGGAAAUGUCACAGUUGGAAGCAGCUCGGACAUUAUAUUCUCAAGGUGUCUUUCAUUUUUCAUUAGCUUGAUCAUAUUCAUAGCUUUACAAGUGAACAAACGUGAUACUAUUUUUUCUCUUUCUCCUUUUCUGUUUCAGACGAUGGAGGCGUAGCAGAUGCAACAAAGUAAGUUAAUAUUUCUGUUUUUACAUUGAAUCAAAUUGUGUGUUUAAAACUGUUUUGUUGAUUGCUUUUCUUUGUAUAUGUACAGGAAGGAGCUUGUAAGAGCUAUAGAUUUAAGACUCGAGGCAAUCAAAAAGGACUUAACCAAGGCGAGUGCUCACGCGUCAGCUAAUGGUUUUGACUCUCAAACUGUUUCUGAUCUCCAACAUUUUGCUGAUAGAUUCGGCGCACAUCAUUUGGAGUAAGCUAUUUUUUUUUCUUGGUGUUUCAUUUUCUUUGUAACUAUGUUUUGAAUCUGACCAGAAUACAUAUCUUUUAUCAGUGAAGCAUGCAGCAAAUAUAUUUCACUAUCGCAAAGAAGACCAGACCUGAUGACCAAGAACCUGAAUACCAAUGCACAAACAUCACUCAGUGAAACAAACAUAUGUCAACAUCAAGAUACUAAGAGCACUAACACUGAUGAAGAGGAGAAAAAAGAAGAGAGUAUGGAAGAAUCUUCGACGGUUAAGACCAUUCAUCAUACAAGGAGACUUAGCGUACAAGAUAGGAUUAACCUCUUUGAGAGCAAACAGAAGGAAAACUCAAACUCUGCAGGAAAUAAACCGGUAGUUGUUGCGAAAUCCACAGAAUUGAAGAGACUUUCCUCUGAUGUCUCAUCAACUGCUCCUGCACUCCCUGAGAAGUCUGUUUUGAGAAGGUGGAGUAUUGUUAGUGACAUGAGCUUUGAUUUUACAAUGGAUAACAAGAAGUCUGAUAGCGGUAGCAACGAAGAAGGUCCCUUGAGUACACCUUCGUCCAUUCCUGAUGCCACAUUCCCCAAGGAGUCUGAAGAGAACAGCAAAAAGGACGAUGAUGAUGAGUAUUCUACUAAAUCUGAUGAUUCUCAAAACCAGACUGAUAAGCCGGGGAAUGUCAUGUCUGAUGACGAUUCCAGACAGAGAGAAGAGGAGAGCUAUGCUUCCAAAUCCCACAAUGUGGCACAAUCAUCAAUCAUGUUUCCUUAUCGCCAUUCCCGUUCUCGUUCAGCUCAUAUAGCAGGUGGUAUAGAUAUCAAAAGUGAUGAACGUCAAUCAAAAGGCAGGAAGAAAGAGCUGUUUCCAUCAGACAAGAAACAAGCCUUGACAAGCUCUCCAAAACCAGUUUCUGCAGGUUAGUUUUAGCAGAAUAGUUAAAAGAAUAUAUAGAGAAAUUUCUCCAAGAGAGUUUUAAAUUUACAAGAUCUUGAAAAUCAUAUGAAAGUCAAGGUUUUGAAUACUUAAAACUGAUAGCUUUUAACUGUACAUCUUAAUGAUUCUGCAGGGUCUGAACAGAGACAAAAAUCAUUUGGUGUAGAGGAUGAUCUUCAGGAUAGUCUUGUGAAUGCAGAGUCAGGUGGGAAAAAUGACAAUAACAGAGUUCGUGCGACAUCUGUGGAUCAAACACAAAGGACAAGAAUGUCUAGAGAAAGCCCUCCAGGGUUUAAUGAUGAGUUGACAAUGGAAGCAAAAGAUCUUGAAAAGAUUUUCGCCGAGCAUCAACUACGGAUUCUUCCAGGGGAUCAAUCAGCUGGUGACGAUAAAGACAACAGGAAUGUUGUAAUGCGCCGGAAUAUAUCUGAGUUAAGAUUUUCAGAUGAUUCUAAAGGAAAGUUGUAUGAAGAGUAUAUUAAGAAGAGGGAUGCAAAACUAAGAGAAGAAUGGAGUUCAAAAGAAACAAAGUUGAAGUCAAUGCAAGAAGCUCUUGACCGAAGUAGAACCGAGAUGAAGGCUAAGUUUUCUGCUGCUUCCAUGAAGAGGCAGGAUUCGAUAUCAAGUACCCGCCAACGUGCAGAGAAAUUCAGAUCUUUUAAUUCUCGGACAAGUUCAAAAAAGUCUCAGGUAAUCAAAUCAUUUAGUUUCUUUGAUGAUGAUGACAACAAACUUUUGUCUAAUUAUUUUGCAAUUUGAUUUAGUGAUUCUUCUUAAUCUUUUACAGCAUCCUAUAAGUUCAUUACAGAGUGAAGAAGAAAACGAAAAAGAUAAGCCAGUCAGUGGACAAUCCAUUGGAAAAAGUGCUUCUAGGAGCUCCCAAAAUAGAAAGGUUCCAUCACCAAAUCCGAGCUCCCGAGUCUCGAAACCAUCAGGUAAAGUUUCAAACGCAAACAUUAAUAGUUGCGGGAGAGGACGAAAAACAUCAGAGAUAAAACUGGUUACACAAUCUUCUCUCCCCAAGUUCUCUGAUCUUAAAAAGGAAAACACAAAACCAUCUUCUUUAGCUGGUAGAAAUACUACUACCAUGAUGCGAACACAGGUGGGAAAUGGUAAUAAGAAGAAUACAAAGGAAGAUUUACCGUCUCCUGUUAUGCCGCGAAGACCACGAUCACUAAGGAAAAGCUUCUCUGCAAAUAUAGAAUUCACAGAGUUGACAACUCUGUAUGCUGAUGAUAUGAACAAAGAGAGGAAUCAGAAGCAGAACACAGACAUUGAUGAUGUACCAGAGAAUUUGGAAAAUGAAGAAUUUGAUCACAUUGAAUCCGAGGCUGAAGAAGAAGAGAAAGAAGUUUUGGAGAAUACUGUCAAAGAUGAAGAAGAAGAUAGAGAAAUGGAAACUCUAGUAGUUGAGGAUAUUGGUGAUGAAACCCCUUCACUUACUGAAAUAGUUGAGAACUCAUCAGAGGAUGGAAAUUACACUUCUUUGAGAUCAGUUUCUCAUGUAGACUUACCGGUGAAUACUCUACCUUCUUCAACAUUGCAGCAUAAUUUUGCCUCGUUAUUGGAUUCACCUAGUGAGAGUCCUCUUUCAUGGAGCUCAAACUUGCAACACGCGUUCUCUUAUCCGCACGAGCACUCGGAUGUUGAUGCUUCAGUGGAUGAUUCUCCUAUGGGAAGUCCAGCUUCUUGGAGUUCAAGAAUGAGAAAGAAAUGGGGAACAACAGCUCAGAGUCCUGUUAUUGUUCCCAACUCUCGAAAGGAUUUAACGAAAGGCAUCAAACGUUUUCUUAAGUUUGGGAAGAAAACUCGUGCUGCGGAUAGUCUAAUGGAUUGGGUUUCUGUAACAACAUCUGAAGGAGACGAUGAUUUUGCUUAUCGAUCAUCGGAUGAGUUAAGAAAAUCAAGAAUGGCAUCUUCUCAGAGUCAGCUUUAUGAGGAUGAACAAGGUAUAAAAUCUUUACAUUUCAGCUUCAUUUAGGUCUUAGAACAAUGUCAUGAAAUUUCUCUGAUCAUGGCUGUCUUUUGUGUUUCAAAGCUUCAAACAACUCGAUUCAUGCACAUCAUCAUCAAGCAAGCUUUAAAGUGAAAGAUGGUGAUUUUAAGCGAUCAUUCUUCUCACUUUCUACAUUCCGCAGCAAAGGAAACGACUCGAAGCCAAGAUAACAGAGCUCAAGUCUUUAUGUUUUCAUUACAACUGCACAAGUACAAAGUUUGUAGUGUUGAAGGAGAAGUAAAAACUUGUUGAUUUUAUAAUAUGAAAUGAGAUAAAACAUAAUUUUGAGAGGUAAAAACUUCAAUUGAAAGAUACAUAUCAAGUACAUGAAAUCUAGAAGGUUCACAAAUAACGUAAAGUCACUGAUCAGUUCACAAUUAAUGGUUCCAAAUAAGUAAGAUAUACGAACUCGUUCGUGACCCACUAAAUAAGAUUUAAGUUAAAUCAAAGUAAGGAAAGAGAAAGUGCAAAAACGUAAACCGUAGUUAACAAAAGAAAAAGCGUGGAACACAAAUCACAAACCCACAGCUACAUGAUAACAUUAUAACAAGAACAUCAGUUAAAAGAAAAGCAAAAGAUACAAUAAAGACGUUACAUAACAACAAAAAAGAAGAAAGAACUCUUCUCUCAAAUACGGCUCCAAGGAAGAUCUCACUGGUAGUACAUGAGCUGCUGCGCGUUCUGGAAACCACCGUCAUAUAUUGCCUGGUUUGAGCCAGUGGCUCCCAUUGCAGCUUGUUUAAGAGCAUGUUGUCCCUGCGGGUGAUGCAUCAGCGGAUUCAUUCCUGCCAUCUUGCUCAUCGCUAGUUGCCUCUCGUAAGCCAAGAGAUCGCUGGCUGAGAAUCCCGGGAUCGGUGCAGGAGCUGGUGGAGGAAGUGGGUUUGAAGCUGUUCCUGGUGGAGUUGGCUUGCUUCCCCAAGAACACUGUGGGAACAACAAACACGAGAUUUUUAGCAUUCCCGAACCAAAAAAAUGGUUUAAGUUAGUUAGUUUUACCUUCAUUUGCCUGCCACUGAGGUAGGAAUGUGUAUUUCCCAUCGAAAUAGCAAGGGCUGCCUCUACAUGAGUAGAGUAUCUCACAAAUCCGAAACCUUUGUCUCUUUGAACACGGACUUCCUCAAUGACCCCAGCACCGAGGGAAUGAAAGUGGCGGUGAAGAUCAACCUGGGACACCUGGAUACCCGAACGAAAAUAUCUUUGUUUUUAGUAAGGUAUGGAUGUGGUAAGUCACACAAUAUCUAUAACACAAUGUUUUUUUCUAUUUUACCUCUGGAGCAAGAUUACCGACGUAAACAGUCGUGUACUGAGCAUUGUUCUCAGGAGCUUCACCAUUAGUAGUAUCUUUACCAUCCUCUGCAGGAACAAAUACGCCAAUGUAUAAACAUCAAAGGGUAAAAUUAAGAGCAUUUGAGGCUUUCUCUGUUUCCAUUUGAUUUUCUAUUUUAUGAAAGGUAAUAGUUAAAACAUACCCGAGACACCACUGGUAAGUUCCACGACACUUUUGGAAUCAGAGCUCUGUUUGUCCUCACCAGAAGUGGCUCCUUUUGUCGCCCAGUUGCAGCGUAUCUGCCUGGAACCAAGCCAUUUCCCUGAAAGCAGAAGAGAAUACUCACACCAGUUACAAUAAGCCAAAAAAAAGCUAAAUAACAAUUAAAAUCAACUAUCAAGGGCAAAACAAAUUGCAACACUCACCAGUUAUUUCAUCUAUUGCAGUCUGGGCAUCCUGCACAAGGAAAUAAGAAUUGCAGCAAUCGAUAAGUGAUCAAGGUAAAAGCCAAUCUAUACACAAGGACUGAGAGUUAGGCAGUCAAGUACCUGCUGGUUACGGAACGAAACAAAUCCAAAUCCUCUUGAACGCCCAGUUUUCUGAUCCCACAUAACUCUUGCAUCCCUACAUACAACAGCAAUUGUCAGAAGAGUCUGUGCAAAUCUUAAACUUCCAUUUUCAAUACAAGAAUGCUCAGGAUGGCAUAAGCGUUGUGCAACUGAAAAACUUACGAGCAACUCGGGUAGACAGAGAAGCAAUUAAACAGCAUUGCAUCAGUAACCUCCGGACUCAAAUCCCCAACAAAUAUAUUGAAGUGACCUGCACAUGAAGAUCACAGAAGUGCGUUAUUGUACCAAUAAAACACCCAAAAUACUGGCUUACCAAGAAAAUCAAGCAUAAGAGUAUGAACCAACUUGAGGUAUCCUCCCUCUGGCCACUAGCAUAAGCCCAGUUAACCUUGAUAGGUUGCCCAAACCUGCACAUUAGAGUAACCAAUGAAUGUAAUCCAAACCUUAAAAAACAGAGUAUCUUGUUCAUGCUAAAUUUACCAACGGCUAAUAAUCAAGUCCAUUAACUUACAAAUGCCUUCCAUUGAGAGAAAGGAUUGCAAGACCAGCCGAUCUUCGAUCAAAGUAGUGGACAAACCCAUAAGAAGACUGCCCGUUUUGAAAUCAAAACAUCAGGAAAAUGUGUCAGUCAUAGCCAAUACAAAAAGCAAAAGUUUCUACAUAACAGAUAUAACAUCCAGAAGAUUAUUACUAGAAUGUUAUAACAGUGUAACAUAACACUAACCUUUUCUUUCCUAAUUAGUUUACAGCUUUCUACAGGACCAGUGCUAGCAAAAACCUCUUGAAGCAGAGGUUCCGUCACCUGAAUAUGGAUGUUUCCCACGUACCUGCAACUUCUCAAAGUUAAACAGACAAAAAAUCUAAACAAGAACCAGAACAAAGAAACAAAAACAGAAAACAGCAUGUCUACAAGUCCCUUCAACUUCAAGGAGUAUCACCAAUGAGGGCAUAAUAACAAAGGAACACCUUUUCCACAAAAUAGAAACAAGACUUUAGAGAAACGUUGUCAAAUACCAACACUUGUGACAAACUUAUUCAAUUGCGCAAUUAUUGACUAUAUAUAUACAUAACUACAAUGCAGUAGUGUUUCCCUGGACUAGCUUUGAGAGUGACAAAUUGAAAACUUGAGCUCACUACUGAAACUUUUAAAGCCAAAAACACAUAAAAAGUGAACAAAAAUACCCAAUAAAAAAAAGAAACCUAACACUCACACACUGCGGCAAGUACUUGGAUCAAAACCAGGGGGGAGAUUUCCACUUGGGAUUGGUUCUAUCUGCAAAAAGGAAAAAAAAAAAAUAGGAAGCGAAAGAAAAUGAAAAAGAAAGAAAUAAAGGAAAAAACUUUACUUCCUAAAGUCUCAGCAACUAAGCUACGAUAACGAAUCAGUUUCAUCUCAAAGAUUUUCAUGGAGUUGUUGAACCAAAAAUCAGAUAAUAAGACAAACACUUUAAAAGAACUUUUAACGAAUACACAAGAAGCAAGUCUAUUAGUGAUAAUCCCAUAAAUUUCAUAACUUUUUCUCGUUUGACAAAUCACAAAUGAAACAAAAAUAAGAGAAACAAGUGUAUCUUCAAUCAUAGAAAAUGAAACCAAAAACCAAGAGUUUCUAAUCCUGGACCUUGUAAAACAAAAGGGCAGUGAAAUCGAGCUUGGAAAAAGACCCUAGAAACCCAAAUCGAGCAUGGAAAUGGAAGAAGAAACACACAAGAAUAGAGCAAACCUGUGGCGGGGCAAGGAGACCAGGAUGGUAGAGAGACUGUUGCUGCAUAAGAGCUUGCUGCAUCAUAACUUGUUGUUGUUGCUGCUGCUGCUUCAACCUCUGCAUUUUCUCUCGGGGAAAUUUUUAUUGUCUUUGAAUUUACUUUUUGUUCCCAGGAAAUGAAAAUUGACACAGUGUUCUGUCUUCUAGGGUUCGAAAGUGUUUUCGGUGUUCGAGAAAAAUGUAAGAGAAAUGACAAAAAAUUAAUAACCAAAAAAAAAAAACAAAAAUGAAGAAGAACAGGAAAAAAGGAAGUCUCUUGAUAGAAAGCGAAGGAAGCAAUCGAGUGGCUCUUACGAAUUUAUUGGAUUUAUUAUUUUUACACAUCGAUAAGCUAAAGUCACAGGCUGUAAGAAAUUUUUAAAACCAACAGCCAAUGAAAUCUUCCCACGUUAAUUUUAUGGCUCAGCCCAAAUCAGACACGCCUUCAAUGAAAUGAAACCUGACAAGUAUUCACAAUAAACAUCCCCUGAUUUAUCUUAAACUUAAGAUACACCCCUCUAAAUUAAUUAUUUCCACGAAUUACACCCUAAAUAAGUUAGAAAGGGCCUCUGAAUCACUUUCAAGUUUCAACCAUCUUUACCCGCGUUACGUUUGCAGUCAGAUUCCUCUUCCUGUUACUCUGGUUUCUCCAGAUUAGUUUACAACUCCUAAAAUAUUUUCUUAAUUAGAGACUCUCUUGUCUAAUUUGCUAUUUCUCGUUUUCAUAAUAUAACUUUACUAUUAUGAAUGAAUAUUCAAGUUAGAUUAAGAUUACAUACUUCAGUAGAAAGCAAAAAAAUCACUUAGAUAAGUCAGAAAAAUCGAAACCUUAAUCUAAAAACUUAGUUCCUAAUAGAAAUUUAGCAAAUAUUACUAUAGCUUUAGAUCGAGAUCUUUCGAACUUUGGCCUUCUUCAAUAUCCAUAAUAACAUCUUUAUCACCAUCUGAUUUGUGUUGGGCCACGGUUUGAGCAAUGGCAUUAUCCGGCUGUCUUUGUGACGACUGUCCUCGCUCUAGUGGUUGACCGGCUACAGCCUCUGGCUUGGGAGGAUAACAAUGGUGACCCGCGUUUUGGUUAACUUGGUAUGGAGCCCUAGCCACAGCUCUGCAACAGAAAAUAAUUACGUUACUAACGCGGCUGGUGAGAUAAAUUUAGGAGAACUUGUAACAGAGAAUCCUUAAUCUCUUGAACAUAGUAGAGUGAUUGGAACAUUAAAACAUGUUCCAAAAAGUAUGAUCAAGUUAAAUACCUGUCUUUCCGUUUAGCAAAGAAUCGAUGAAGCGAAGCUCUGCGUGCUAUACGUUCCACGAUCUGAUUUUGUUCUUGUUGCUGCUGCUGUUGUUCCUUUGUAGGGUGAUUAUUAUCAGUAUCAGCAGAAUUUGAAGGCUCAUUGAGAUCAGGGAGAACCAUGUUGCUUUUGUUUUCGACAUUGAUUGGUGUCUGAAUGUUAAUCUCAGUCAGAGGCUUGGCUUGUUUUGCUACUUCCAUAAUCUCUUUAGCUUUGUCUGCAGGGAACUCAUUAUAUACUAAAACUUUCCCUCCAAAGAAUAUGGUCAGCUGCGAACUUCCUGGCUGUGAUUCACUGUAAACCAAAAACAGAUUUCAGAACAAAACCAUUUUGAACCGGUUAUCAUUUCUCUACUCUCCAAUAACCAAACAAAAAACAACAAUUUUUCCCAAGGAACAAAAGGAGACCUGAGGUCAGCAACAUCUUUGACUUUGCCUCCAGAUGAUGCAGAGGGUCCCCCUUUGAAAUGCCCUGCCUUCUGCAUCGCAUUUUGUUUCCCUGAAUAAAGAGAAUAAAAACUUUCGUGAACAAUAAGAACUUACGGAAAAUAAUAACUUUUUUCCGAAAGAUAUAGCAUCUUAUAUCUUCUUUGGGAUUUUUAUGAACCAUAUAUGAUAUCUCAAUCAAUAUCUAUAUCAAUUUAUUCUUUAGUUUUGUUACUUGUCAGCAUAACUACAAGGAGAAAUUAUUUCCGAUUCAAAGGAACUGACUUACAAGUGAAGAAACAGAACAAAAGUAGUAAAUCUUACAAAAGCAAAAAAAACAAAAAACAGAACUGAAUUUUAACUAUUUACCGAGUGGCGGCAGUGAGAGAGGAAGAGAUGAUAAAGUACCUGGUGGAUCGGAUGUUCCGAGCAACCCGAUAUUGGAAUCGGGUUUUCGGAGCAAGCCAAGAUCUAUGUUUCCGAAACUACCCUUCUCCUUCAAGUAACGGCUGAGCAAACUACAUCUCCUGGUAAAGUCGGAUUUCUCCGGCGCUUUUGCCUUAGCAUUUUCAUUUUUCGACAUGUUGUUUAUGAGAAGAAAGAAUUCUCCACACUUCUUUUUUAAGAUAUUCUUAUCCCUUCUUUUCAAUAUUUUUCUUUCUUUUUUUGUCUGUGCGUGGAUGGAUUGCGCGUAAAAUGGAAAAGUACAAGAAGCUAGCUCAUGUGUGUUUAUAAACUCAUUCACCCAAUACGUUUGUGUGACUUGAAUAGCCUCCCAUAAAUUAAUGAAAACAGAAAUAUAUAAACAGGAGCUUUUUUUUUUUUUUUCAACUUUCAAUAUAUUAUUACCAAAAUAUAAAUAAAAUUCACUUUUUUUUUACAGCAAUUUGCAAAUAUUCAAACAUUUAUGGUAUUUCGAUUUCUUUUCGUAUAAAUUACUUUUUUUUUUUUUUCGUCUGAAUGAUUCCAUUAUAUUAUACGAGGGUAGAAUACGGUUUUGAAAUACAAGACCGACAAGAGUCGAAACUCUUUCGGAAACUAAGCCGGCGGAAGACAUAAAUAUCCCCGGGAAACUAAGCCCAAAAGAGGGAAGCAAACUAUAAACAAAAAGGUACAAGAAGGUAAACUCAAAAAGAACCAAAGAACUAAAUCUGAGACUCGAAACCAUCAUAACCCGCAAACAAUCCCAGAGAAACGGUUGGCGUCGGAGUUGAAACCAAGAAACAUGAGCCUCAAGAAGAAACAACCAAACAGGCAAACUCCAAUAGACCGGAGAUUCCGAAGAAGAACGAAUCUGAAGGCUCAACCAGCAACAAUCCAACAGAACAGAGAGCGAGAUCAAUCCAAUAGAUUACAUCAGAUUUAGAAAUAUUCCAUCGCAUGACAGUUUUCAACUUUUCACUAACUAUAGAACUAUAUGUAGUGUGACGAAAGGAAUUUUUCAUCUAUGAUUAAUAGUAAGACAAUUAAUGUUAAUAAUUCAUCAUUAUGC
rnacentral:lncRNA from 1 species